rnacentral:lncRNA from 1 species
ACCAAAUUUGUAGCCGUUCAUCAACACGGAUACAUAGUACAAUAUCUACUCCUCACUCUUUUCAGCUGCAGCUUCCUUGUUCUCUUCCUCCACGGCAGGCUUCUCCUCCAAUUCUUCCUUCUUCUCCUCCUCGGCAGGAGCCACAGGUGCCUCCUCAGGGGCCUUGGUCUCCACGGGCUCCUCUGUGGGAACCUCACGUGCCGCCUCUUGGGCAGGCUCUUCAGUCUUCUCUGCUGCUGCUGCUGCUUCCUCCACCACCGGCUCGGCCUCGGCGACCACCUCCUCAGCCUUCACCUCCACAGGAGCCUGAAUUUCUUCGGUUGCAGCAUCAGUCGCUGCCUCCUCCUUUGGCUCCUCGACUGCUGCUGCCGGGGGUGUGACAACUUCCUCCUUUGGUGCUUCCUGGGCCUCGUUUGGUUGCUUCUCUACGUUCUCAUCUGGCAGUGCAGUGGUUGCUGAUUGGACCUACAGGAUGCCAUGCAUCAUUAGAUUUGAACAUGAGUAGAUUAACUGUCUUCGAUCUGUCUUCGAUGCUUAACAUACACGAACUUUUCUUUUAUAGAUCAAAAAACAUAGCAAGAGCUUAUAUAUAUAUAGGAUUAGGUAUGACUCUCAAGGGUCAUAUUAACUGAUUUUAGCACCUACCUGGACUUUCUAGCAUGCGAUAUGAAGGCAUAUUAUACAUAUCAAAAACUUUUGAAAAAGCUUGACAUGAAUGAACUUUUGUAGCAUGACAUAUUUAGAAGUAGUUGUUUCAUCUAACAAAAAGCUGGACCUAAGAGAUUAUUGCACGCUAUUAGAAAGAAGAGAAUGGAGAACGCUGGAGCUACCUCAACAGUGGCCAUGGGGAUCAAGCGGGAUUGAAUAUGCGAGCUAGUAUCGAGAGAGCAACACUGGACCAGAUUAAGAAGCCAAAAGGUGGUGGUGUGAAGGAAGGGUUGCGGGAUGGGGGCUAUUUAUAGAGAGGUUUGGAGGGCUUAGCUGGGGAGAAAAGAAGAGAACAGUGGUUGGCUGUAUGUAUUGAUUGAUGAAGAAUCUCGAAACUGGGUCACAUCUCGUGACGCUGGAAUCAAGAGACAAAGGCCAUCCUGCCAAGGAAUGCACAAGGAGAGUCUAGGUGGGGAAGGAUGAUGUUGUAAAGGCCAAAUCAGUGGACGCCACCAUUACAGUUCAUGCACCUUCCUUCUGCCCAUAAGUUAUUACCCCUUGUGGGUUGGGGGUGUGUUGUGCUUCGUGCAGUAGGGUUUAAAGGCGACCUAUUGAUUUCCCAUGCACGUUCUAGGGUCCUUGGGCUGCCAACUUUUUCUUCAGCUAGGCCUCUUUUUGAUAUGUACCCUUCUUUUGGUGAAAAUAUCCAAAGGUAAUUCACAAGGAAGUGUACGUGUUUUUGAUUGGUUAAGAUAUCCGUUUUAAGGGCGUCGAAAUCCGUUCGGCAAUAUGUGCAAGAAUUCAUAAAUUAUGUAGAAGUGAAUUGCCAUUUGGCUAACAGUUUUUUUUGUUUCAACCAAGAUGUAUCAUAUGCUUGCAUGUGAGGAUAACACCAAACUUGCAUCAGAAGAAUGAUGAAUUUGUAAGAAGAUAGGUAUCCGAUUUGCGGACUUCAAGUAAAAUGUCUCAACUGACUAUUAACCAAUGGUCAUUAUAGUACAAAUUGACAAGUUAAGGUUUGAGACCACUCAUAUGGUGCAACGUUGAUGCAUACAUUUUGUUCAUUCAGAAAAAGUUUAUUAAAAUAUGGAUUAAAAUGUUGCCAUGGCUUUUUGGUUGUGGACCGAAUGCAAUGUUAUAUCAUCAUUGUCAACAUGACAUCUUCGGCUGCUGGAUAUAACAAUUGAAUCAAAUGAUAAUUGGAGCAAGGAGAUGGACCCAAUUUGAGCUCAUAUUCCUAGAGGUUUAGGCGUGUACGGCUUGAAAACUUAAAACACUACAUGUGGUUAUUGUUGGAGUGGGAGUGCUUCUUUCGCAUGAAAGAAGGAAUCAUUUUUUAACGAAUCAUCUUCUUUUUCAUGAUCUCAAGGCGCCCAAUAGAUGAUCCACCAAUGGAUUCGUGCAAAGAAAGAUAAAUUCUUGUUUGACGUGAGAUAUAUACAACCCUGAUCCUUUGGUAAUCACAUACAUAAUGCAUGAUGAGAAAUAAAGAUAUACCGGCUAGCAACAUGAUACAUAAUAGAUUGAGCGAUGGGCCAUGGGCGAUUGGAUGCACAUAAUAGAUUGUUUUCAGAAAGUUUUGAAUCCUAGCUCACUAGAUCCACCUAAGAACACCAUACCCUAAUGAAUGAGGGAAAGAUAGGGAAAUGACCCAAGGUUUGGUAGUGUCCACCGUCCGCGCCCUUCUUUUUGAACCCACCCGACCAUGGAGUCGCACCAAACGACCAAAAUUGGCAGAGGAGUCAGAUUCAGAUACGACUUUGAGAAGGGCGGUGGGUGCUGUGGGCCCCCACAUCAUUAGCGUCCAAGACCCGGCGGUGGAUGCUGACCUGGCGACAGGUGCCCCGUUGAACAUCACGACGGGGACGAUGGCAUUGGGCGGUGCGACCGGGGCCCACAAAUAGUCCUCCAAUUGUCUGGUUUCAUCCCCACGACGUGCGAUCAUCUGACGUGUAUCAUGGCAUGCUCUGAAGCAUGACGUGUCUGCACGUGGUCGAGCAAUGAUCCACGUCAGCACAAGGUACUGAGUUGGAAUCCAGCAGCCUGCGAAGCUAUUUUUCUAAUCGGAGUUCUGCUUACCGUUGCAAGCCCUCAUGAGACAUUGAUUAAAUUUAAUGACAACUAUUACUUCUGUUGAUGAAAAAAAAAAAAGAAAAGAGAGAGAGAGAGAAAAAAGGGAUGGCGGGGUUUGACGCACAAUGCAGUAAAUUUAUAAUAAUUUGAUAUGACGAAUUCGAAACACAAAAAUAAUCUUUAUCACAAAGCCGCAUACAUAUAACCUUGUUCAGAUUAAAAAAUCUAAGACAAUCUUUUAUGAGAUGAAUGCAUGUUAUGAGAAUCAUAAUAUGCUCGGUUCAUACAAACCUGCAGAGUAAAUUAUAUCUUCUUAAGAGAAAAGAGAGAGCAUCAGGAUCGGUGUUCCACAUACUUUUUAGCCUAACUGGUGAGAGUUGUUAGUCGUAUAUUCGAGCAGAUUGGAUUAGGUUAAAGGUCAAUUUGAGAUUAAAUUCAACCAUCAAAUGACACGGCCUGAAUCCUACCCAACUCGAUAAUGAAUCCAACCAUUUGAAUGAGGACCAAACCCACAUUCAAAACACUCAACCCAAAUAUGGUUUGGAAUGACUUGUGUUAUGUUUGGUUUGGUUGGGUUACAUCAAAUCAAGCAUGGUUUAAGUCAAGCGGGAUUCGGUUAGGUUUUCUAUUUCACAAAGAUGUAUUACAAUCUAGUUGCAUAAGGUUGGAAGUUCUAUUCUAGAAAUUAUGAUCGGGUUUGGAUUGGGUGGAUUUAUAUUAUUAACAUAUAACAAGAAAUUGUGCCUCUACAUUUUCCAACCUAAGCCUAGGCCAAGUUAAGAACAUCUGGCGGAAACCAACCCAAAUAGCAAGCCUGAUCUCUUUCCUCCCUUGCAAGUUAUACUCUCCUUGCCGGCCGGUUGAGUAGAAGACCCGGAGUACCAGUUGCCCACAUAGAAUUGUUCCAACUCACUCCAGAACUCAGACCUCUAUGGAGGAGGUUUUCACCAAUAAAAAUAACCCCAAACCAUGUGCCAAUCAGAAAUAAACAGCCAACCAAAUGUAAGCUGACCAAAUCUAACGGUAAAACCUAUAACAACUCAGGAUCUCAUCCAAAUUGGCUAGCUAGAAGGUAUUAUUUUGUUUCCUUAAUUCUAUAUAAAUACCCAAGAUCUAUUCAGUGAAUAACCAAUGUGGGAUUAAGCACACGCCCGCACGGAUUCUCGCAUACUCUCUCUGUUCAAGCCAUGAUGUCAUCGUCAGGCUAAGAGUUCAAAUCCAUUUAAAUCUAAUUACAAACAUCAUGAUCGGCCCGUGAUCAGCCCUAAUGGAUCCGUGCUGCAAUGUCCUAUAGUUCACAUAGAUUAUGAGUCGGAUCCGCUCUGAUACUAUUUAUAACAACUCAGGACCUCACCCAAAAUGGUUAAUCAGAAGGUAUUAUUUGAGCCAGAAUCUACCCAGUGGAUAAUCGAGAUGGGACUAAAUACACGCCCACACAAGUUCUCACAAAACCUCAGCCACCUCAGUUAGGGCCCAAAACAUACCACAAAAUCAGACCCAACCUAUCUGUUACAUGCAAAGGCCAAGGAGCAUCCACACUGAGCCCUGACACCAAUAUAUGUUUAGACCAAGUGGUGUAAGACGCCCAUCAAGGUGGAUAAGGAACCUCACCUUGCCGAGCAUGCAUGGGAAGCAUUGCUUCCAUUUCAUACCAUCCUUUUCUUCAAAAUCUAACAACAUAAGUUCUAUUCUCUUGACAUCUAUUAAUUACUAGUUUACUACUCCCUUCCACAUCCAACUAAAUCCUCUAACCGUGGAGCAGGGCUUCCUCCCACCCCAUACCCAAACACUUCCAAAUCAUGCCAAUACUCUCCACGACAGUGCACCUCCAAAGAUGCAAAACUCCAGGAAAUGCGCACAUAAAUCACCAUCUUGCACAUCCUAAAUCCUUGAAUUCUAAUCCAUUGAAGAAGAGCAUCUCCAUGAAGAAGCCAGAUCAUUGGCCGGCGCCGCAUGGAACCAAGACCUCAUCAGCCCCAGGAGGCCAAGAUUUUGGCAAACCAGAAAGGGUCGAUAGAUUGCACUCUGCUAUUAAGAAUCGAAGCAUUAAAGAACUUUUCGACUUGACUGGUGAAGAAUGCCGAGACUACUUCAAUCUUCUUCUGGCUGCCAUUGAUCCUUCUGAGCUGAGUAAGGUGAGAAACAAAUCUCGCAUAACUGCGUUGCCGAUAUAAUUCUGCACUGGAUUCUACUGUGAGCUCUCAAUAACGGAUGUGUCGUUUGUUGUAGAAAGCUCUCGGCAUGUUCUAUGCUUUCUUGGUGGCAAACCGGAUACAGUUCGUGAUCAAGCCGACCAAGGAUGAGGGAGUGGAUUUUGGCAUGAAAUGGCGUCUAGGUUUGUUUAAGCUUAGAUCUCAUGGCAACUACACUUAGAUUUUGCAUUAUACUGUAAUUCUAAUGCAGGAGAAAUUUUUUGACUUGCAGAAUGGAAAGAGAAUCAACUGCCAUUAGGACUUGGUUGUAGCCUCUACACGUCUCAUAUCUAUGAAGGGAUGGUGUCUAUAAGGUGAGGAAAGGUUAAACUAAGAUCUUUUUUUUAUUAUUAUAUGACAAAAUACGACCAAGAUUAUAUACAGCUAAGUUUCACAGACUAACCCUUAUUGCAUGGGAAAAAUAACAGGAAAGCAAGGAAUAUUAUAGAGCCAUUGCUCCACAUGGGACCUCUUGGACCGGUAAACAUAAGAGUCUCUAUCGCGUAUAGUUUCUGCUGUGAUCAGUAAAGAUUACAAAAAUAAGAUAAAAUUUAAAAAAAUGUCGAGAAAAACCCCUAUAACUAAUGGCAACUGUAUUUUUUUUUUUUUGUCAGAUGCUGGAAAAAAUCUUUUUGCCUAUGAUAGAUAGGAUUGUACCCUCAGGCGUUCUUGAAGGGAAGAGAAGGGUUGCCUCUGUGUACUGCUUUCUUAGUCUCGUAUUCUUGGUUAUAUUUCUUGUCUCAUUGAAGAACACAUUUGUUUUACAUGAGGAAAAGUAAUGUAUACAUUUAUUCAUGACUCUUUUGCAUGCACGUCGACAAAAACAAGACUACUAGAUGGUAAGGGUGGCAAUCGGCCGCGUGAGGUGGGACAAGAACAUAUGCAUUAGGUCGGAUAUAAGAUAUAUUAAAAAUUUAUCAACCUAUUUCUAAUCUAUUUAUUAAACAGAUCAAAAAUCUAGAUAUGUACUAAACUAUUAUAUUAAAUAGGUAAUCUAAUGUGAUUUACAAAGAGUUAAAACAAGUUAAACAAAUUAAAUGAUUAAGAAUAUUUCAAUUUCAAAGACAGCUCAACACUCUUUGACUCGAUAUAGAUAAAAACUAUGCAUGCUUAAAAACAAAAAGCACUACUUCAAUACAAUAAUAAUAAUAAUAAUUUUUAGAAAAGAAUGAUAAGAUUGUAUGAAAAUCAAGCCAUCUUAAGCCAUCUUUAUAAUAUGUAGUCUCAAACCCAAAACAAGAAAUCAUUUUAAAAAAAAAGAAGAAACAAAGCCCGUUAUAGAGGUGAGGGAUGCUUUCUUUCUUUUUUAUUAAAUAAAGAUAAAAGAGGGACUCUCUCUUGUGUAAUUCUCCCAAGUUGAGUGGUGCAGUACCUUGUGAUUUGUCAUGCAUUCUGUUUAUUAUAGUAGAUUUCUCGCUCUUCUGGUGGACGUAGCCUGGAUUUUGAUGAACCAUAUUAACUCUUGAUCUAUCAUGCCAGUUUUGUUCGUUAUUAUUUUUUAAUUGUUUUAUUCAGCUGCUCUUCCUCGGGUUAUAAUACAUCUCCAGAACAAGAUUAGAUGAUGACCGAGCAUCUUCAAUAACUAUAUUCACAUGAUGAGAUUUUGAGGUAAUCGUAACUUCGGACUAUAUAGGAUGCUAUUAGCUGUCUUGAAAAGAGAUGAAUCAAAACAACAUGCUUCCUUUGAAGUUUGAACAAAAUAUAUAUCAAUGCAAAAGAAUUCAAAGUCACAAUUGUCUGAUAGCACAACUACAUAGAUACUCACUUUCUACAGCUAAAGGAUGUCAAACUAAACAUAAACCGGAAGAAAGUAAUGAACUUAAGAAAAUCAUGGACAAUAAAACCCUAAAGUGGCGUUUGAUGACCCAAAUGGUAUCACUAAAGUGAUCUUAAAUUAUCGGCGAUUCUUAUCUCGAAAUAAUCUGAUAUUCGAUGAUUUAAAAUAAAUAUAUUUAAUAUGUUAUAUUCUAAUAAUUAAGAAUUUUCAGAUAUCUACAAGUAAUUUGUAUCAUAAAUAAAUAAAUAAAAACAGUUACAGAAAGUAGUGUAACUUGUCUAGUACGUUCAAACCACAGAAUUGAAUAUACGAUCUAGAGCAUUUUGUGUAAAGCUAAAACACUAACAUGUCUUCUACUAUCUCAAGGGUGACAAAACAACAUAAAAGCAAGUCAUUUUCAUUCUCAUCCUUAAUAAACAAUGUAAAAGAAUAUAAGUGUGUGAGACUCAGAAUUAUCAACUAACCAUUCUAUUUGGAGUGGAAGUCAAACAAAAGUUACACCUGAAGUCAAAAACCUCUGUAACAUUCCAACAUAAAAAAACCUCUGCAACACUCAUGGAACCAAAGUGCCUCGUAUAUACAUGCAUACAUAUGUGUGGGAGUACCAGCUUGCUUCCACAUUUCCUCAUAAAAAAUUAAGGAAAAAUAAUUUCCAAGAAAAACAAAUAUUUAAAUGAUUUGAGAAAGAAUCCAAGAAACCAAUUUUAUACAACUAGAAAGAGCAUUUGAAGCUAAUCAUAUUUGAAAUAAUAGAAUUGAAAGAUAGAACUAUGCAAGAGUAUUAGAAGAAAGUAAUAGAUACAACUUAAAAGUAAGAAAGCUAGUUGUUGGGGGAAAAAUAUAAGACAUCCUGGAGCGAAAGGCGCCGACCAGGAAGCUCCCGACCAGGAAGCGCCGACCAGGAAGUGCCGACCCGGAGAGCGCCAACCAGAAGCGUCCGACCUGAUGACGCUCGGACUAGAAUGCGCCCAGCUUGGCAACUAGCUCGGCACCCGACCAGGUGCCGAAUUCCGAAAUGCCUUGUCCAAAUAUUCGACCCCGGCCUAACUCCUUAAGGAAGUCUGACUCCAGAUACGCAACCUCACCGUAUCCUGCCACUGUCGUCAAACUAUUAUUGCGCAUGGCCUCUGCAGGCCUCCAGCACACUCAACCAUUAAAUGCGCAUGGUUCAUGAUGAUCUCCGAUUCACUCAAACAUCAAAGCGUAUGACCUCUCCCGACCCUCGGUUCACUCAACAAUUAAAGCGUAUGGCUUCUGUCGUCUACGGACAUUGAGCCUCUUACGGCAAACCUACUUGACAACUGAUGAUAGCAUGAUUCAACGAUGACUCGAGAGCUUCGACCUAAUCUCCAACAGUAACAGCGUUGACUCACACGAUCGGGUAUUAAUUUCCACUCCAUACCAGAUUGUACGACAGGCUGUUUGCCUCGUCACAUCACAGGUAACCCAGCUCCCUCUAUAAAAAGGGGACUCCUCCAUUUUAAGAGGGGGGAAGCAAAAAAACCAGACUCUCUACUAUUGUCUUCAUUCUCACACUUGCCCCCUCUGACUUAAGCAUCGGAGGGCCGGCGUCGGAAAUCCCAGCCACCGGCUUCUUGCAGGUCUUCCGGAGGAUGCCACGCGUCGACGGACCGCCGCCGAUCACCGCCGAUUCUCACCGGAGCUCCCCCUUUCUNNNNNNNNNNNNNNNNNNNNAGUCGCGGCCAUGAAGCUGAGAAGCAAGGGAGCUUCUAAUGUCUCCCGACGUCCUCCAACUAGUCCUGGACAUUCUGUCCAGAACUCGCCACCUCCGGCCGAUUCGACUCCGCAAGUUCGGCCGGAGCAGUUUGAUGCCCUGGUGCAACAAGUACAGGCUUUGGCCACCGCUGUCCAAAACCUGCAACCCGAGGGCGUCCCAGCAGCACCGCUUCCUCAGGCCCCGGUUUAACCGGUGCCCCCUUCAAGUGGACCGGCCCCACAAGGCCGCGAUCUCCACGCCUCUUCAAGGACCAAUGGUGAGGAGCGGUGCCGCUGCCAGGGUUCCGCCCGACCAUUCUCCUGGAGGGAGCCCCUAGCGAGGGGUCCAGGCGACUGGUCACAACCGUCAGAGGUCGAAUCAGUCCCAGGACAACCCGCACCCGAACAGACCACUGUGGCGAUCCCUCGGAAUGAUGAACUCGACAAAAAAAUCGAGAAGCUGGAGCGCCAGAUUGAAGCGCUCAAUGGCAAGAGGGGGAGAUGUGAGGGUGACUACGAGUUUACCACGAAGUCCCCUUUCUCUCACCAGAUCGAGGAGGAGCCGGUCCCGCCGAGGUUCAAGAUGCCACAGGUGGAGCCCUACAAUGGCAAGACCGACCCCCUUGACCACCUGGAAAGUUACCGGGCCUUGAUGGCACUCCAAGGAUCCUCGGAGGCCAUGCUCUGCAAGGCCUUCCCAGCAACGCUUCGAGGAGCAGCUCGGCUUUGGUUCACCGGGCUGAAACUCAGCACAGUCUCCUCUUUUGAGCAGCUCGGCAGGCAGUUCGCUACUAACUUUGCUGCCAGCCGACCCCAGCGGCGGACUUCGGACUCCCUCCUCGAUAUAAAGCAAAGGAAGGGAGAGUCGCUGGGGGAAUACUUGGACCGUUUCACUGCCGCAACUUGGGAGGUCCGUGAGCUUGACCAGUCAAUAGCCAUGUCGGCACUCAAGACUGGAGCCCGGUCUUAUAGGUUUCUCUUCUCCAUCGAGAAGAAUUUCCCAGCCGACUUCGCCGAGAUGCUAGUCCGGGCANNNNNNNNNNNNNNNNNNNNNNNNNNNNNNNNNNNNNNNNNNNNNNNNNNNNNNNNNNNNNNNNNNNNNNNNNNNNNNNNNNNNNNNNNNNNNNNNNNNNNNNNNNNNNNNNNNNNNNNNNNNNNNNNNNNNNNNNNNNNNNNNNNNNNNNNNNNNNNNNNNNNNNNNNNNNNNNNNNNNNNNNNNNNNNNNNNNNNNNNNNNNNNNNNNNNNNNNNNNNNNNNNNNNNNNNNNNNNNNNNNNNNNNNNNNNNNNNNNNNNNNNNNNNNNNNNNNNNNNNNNNNNNNNNNNNNNNNNNNNNNNNNNNNNNNNNNNNNNNNNNNNNNNNNNNNNNNNNNNNNNNNNNNNNNNNNNNNNNNNNNNNNNNNNNNNNNNNNNNNNNNNNNNNNNNNNNNNNNNNNNNNNNNNNNNNNNNNNNNNNNNNNNNNNNNNNNNNNNNNNNNNNNNNNNNNNNNNNNNNNNNNNNNNNNNNNNNNNNNNNNNNNNNNNNNNNNNNNNNNNNNNNNNNNNNNNNNNNNNNNNNNNNNNNNNNNNNNNNNNNNNNNNNNNNNNNNNNNNNNNNNNNNNNNNNNNNNNNNNNNNNNNNNNNNNNNNNNNNNNNNNNNNNNNNNNNNNNNNNNNNNNNNNNNNNNNNNNNNNNNNNNNNNNNNNNNNNNNNNNNNNNNNNNNNNNNNNNNNNNNNNNNNNNNNNNNNNNNNNNNNNNNNNNNNNNNNNNNNNNNNNNNNNNNNNNNNNNNNNNNNNNNNNNNNNNNNNNNNNNNNNNNNNNNNNNNNNNNNNNNNNNNNNNNNNNNNNNNNNNNNNNNNNNNNNNNNNNNNNNNNNNNNNNNNNNNNNNNNNNNNNNNNNNNNNNNNNNNNNNNNNNNNNNNNNNNNNNNNNNNNNNNNNNNNNNNNNNNNNNNNNNNNNNNNNNNNNNNNNNNNNNNNNNNNNNNNNNNNNNNNNNNNNNNNNNNNNNNNNNNNNNNNNNNNNNNNNNNNNNNNNNNNNNNNNNNNNNNNNNNNNNNNNNNNNNNNNNNNNNNNNNNNNNNNNNNNNNNNNNNNNNNNNNNNNNNNNNNNNNNNNNNNNNNNNNNNNNNNNNNNNNNNNNNNNNNNNNNNNNNNNNNNNNNNNNNNNNNNNNNNNNNNNNNNNNNNNNNNNNNNNNNNNNNNNNNNNNNNNNNNNNNNNNNNNNNNNNNNNNNNNNNNNNNNNNNNNNNNNNNNNNNNNNNNNNNNNNNNNNNNNNNNNNNNNNNNNNNNNNNNNNNNNNNNNNNNNNNNNNNNNNNNNNNNNNNNNNNNNNNNNNNNNNNNNNGGGGUAGUACCUUCGCAGCCCCCCGAAACGUUCGUGAUCGACAACGGUGCUCCCGAAAGGUCCGCGGAUGAUAAAGCGACACCCACAAAUCAAUGGGUUAUUCCUCCUAAUGCGCCGGCGUCCCCAGGGAGCGGACCCCGAGCAGAAGAGCGCCCUCAAAAAUUAGCCGAGGAGCAAAACUGCCAACCUCGGCACGGGACGCUCGACUCUGACACUACAAAAGGUACAUUUUAAUCAAAGGUUGCAUUAUUUCAUUCGUUCCUGCACCUAUUAAGUGCUUAAAUAAAGCCCCGACUGGCGCCAGGGCGUCCAGCCGGGCCGAUUGUCGCCUGGCCUCACCUGCCCCGCAUGCACUGCUCGACGCCGAACCUUAGCUCGGUUUAUACCGGCAGCUCGGCGAAACCCUAUCCCGAGCUUGGGACCUUAUCGGACCCGUUUAAGUCGAAGAAGUCCUACAAUCCGCCUCGGUCACUAGAGGUCCGAGCUCGCGGAGUACGAAUAAAACUUGAGUCAGGCUAGUGACCUUUGGUCCAGGGCUCGGCAGAAUUCUACGCCGAGCUCGAGAAGGCUUGAUGAGCCCGGGUAUAUCUUUUGGACCUGGACACCGCAAUAUCGCUGGUCGAAGGUCCGAGCAGCGGGAACUUAGGAUCCGAGCUCAAAGACUUGGCAAAUAUGCCGAGCCUAAACCUAAGUCUAACUACGCAACGGAUGCAGUCGAGGCCGCAGAGCCCGUCUAUAAAGUGAAUUCGAUCGAAGAAAUUUACAUUUAUUGAGGAACAAAACUUGGAUCAGUCAUAGAAAAGUAUACUCAUUUAAAAGAAAAGCCCGAGGGCCAAGUACAAAAUCGAGGCUUGGCCGUAUAACAACGUGAAGGCCAUCCUUCUUUACACAAAUGAUAAAAAGAUACAAAAAAUGACCAAGUCCUACGGCUCGACCCUAUCGUCUUCGGCGGCUUCGGGGGCAGCUGGUUCCUCCGCGGCCAAAGCCUCGGCAUGGCCGUCUUCGGCGGCCUUGGGAGCAGCCUCGGGCGCUCCCGCUAAACCCUCCUCGGCAGCAGACCCAGUCUCCUCGACGGCCUCAUUGACCGUCGGAGUACCUGCCUCGAACUCGACCCCCGCUCCCGGUUGAAGCAGAUCGAGGUCGAAGUCGGGGAGGAACCGCCGUAGUUGAUUGCGGAAGUCAUUGAAGCCUUGGGUGAGCCCGUUCACCCCCUCCUCCUCGAGCAGGUCGCGGAACUCUUCCGAUUCGCGGAAGAGUUCGACAGCAUUUCGGGCCUGCUCCCUGGCCUCCUUCUCCCGAGCCUCGUGUUGCUCGGCCUUCUGCUCCAAAUUUCUUAUCUCCUGCUCACGGACGGCGAGCAGGGAUUGAGCCUCGGACAAACGGGCCUCGGCGGCCCGCACCUCUGACCUGGUCAGAGCAUGGCCGGCCCUUUCUUCCUCAAGCAUCAUGUUGAAGAGACGAACCUCGUCCUCAGUGGCCCCCAGUCUGAGCAGAAGCUCUUUCUUUUGGAGCCCGGCCUCUGCCAACUUGCUUUCGGCCUCCGCCAAUUUCUUCUCAGCUUCUUCUUGCGCUCGUGCACUUCGGCGAGCUCGUUCCUUGUAAUCUGCGCCGAUCGAAAUCAGCGUCUCGACCUCGUGAAGGUGCUGCAAGCAGGGCAAAGAAGAGUUGAGCCAAAGAUUAAACGAAGGCGUAAAAAAUGUGAAGGACAGUAGAUAAAGAACGAACUUACCCGAACAGCGGAGAUGCGAGCCGAAUCCAAGAACUGGUUCAUGCUCAAGGCCCGAAUUUUCACCAUGUCGACGGGAAGGAGUGCACCGCGGAAGAAUUGUCGCGCCGUCUCAGCGUUCUCAAGGGCUGAGUCGCCCUCGAACACCGCCCAGUCCGGGAUAUAGGGCCGCCUUCCUUGUCGGCCCCCUCCCUCCGACGGGUCGAGGAGGCUGGUCCUAGCCACCUCCGGCGAGGUCGGCCUUGCCGCCUCUCGGCUGCUGCCCGGCUUAGAUGCCGGGCGCUCGGGUCAGACUGGAGGCCGACCAGGAACCUGCGAAAUUGGCGCCGGGCACGGGAGCGCCGUCAUAGCUCCAGCAGAGCCCGCGCCCCUAGAGCUUGAGCCCACCCUCCGACCAGCCUCGGAGGGCUCGGCACGAGGAGCCGAGAUCUUCGCCUUCUUUUUUGGCUCGGGCGGCUCUCCCGCGAGCUCGGCCGCCCUUCUCUUGAACCGAGCAUACAGAGCGUUACUUUUGGUUACCAUUUUUGCAAUAUCUGCAAAGAUGAGCGAAAGAAGUUUUAGUUAAAUAUCGUGAGGAAAAGGCAAAGGGAAAAAUUCCUUAAAAAUACCACCUACCCGGAGGGCGCGCCGAGCUCAGACCGACAUUGAUUAGAGCAUCUUCGCUCACGAGGCCGCCCAGAAGAAUGCCAUCCCCGAGGCUGCGGAUGGCGUCGAGGAUCCCCUGCUCACGCGAGGAAAGCCUGGGGAGUUUGUUGGCGGUCUUGAGUCGGCUCUGCCUCCACCUAGGGUCGAACCCCUACGACCGUUCGGAACUCAAAAAGAAAAAUUUCUUCUUCCAGUCGUGAAUAGACGACGGGGCGCCAUGGAAGAGUGGUCGACCCGCCCAAAAGGCGAUGUAAAGCCACUCUCCGUCUCCUGGGUUAGACUUUAGUGAAAAAAGCCGCCGGAAAACAUUCACAGAAGACGGGAUCUCAUAUGCCACACAUAGGGACAGGAACCCGAUGAUCGUCCUCCAUGCAUUCGGAGCAAGCUGCGCCGGUACGAGUUGGUACUCCCCGAGCAGCUUGUUCACAAACCCAUAGAGGAAAAAUCGCAGGCCAGCCCAGAGUGCCUCCGAAUACACUGCGAUCCGGCCCACAGGAGGGUUCGUUACCCGAACCCCCAACCCAGCAGGUUCCAAACGGAACCCUCGCAGAGGAAAAAACCACUCUUCGACCAUCUCAACCUCCAGCUCACUCAUGGUGGACCCAACCUCACUUGGACCAAGACCCAUUAGAAAUAGGAAAGAAAAAGAAGGGAGGAAGAAGGUUUCAAGAGGGAGACACCUUAGGGGGUUCGCCGGAAGUAAUGGCGGAAUGUCGGAGCGGCCGCUUCGGACUGAGAAGGAAAAGAGAAGGAAAAAGAAGACAAUAAGAGAGAAACCAGAAGAAGCCAGGCAGGGGUUUAUAUAAAUCCCUCCAACGGCUCAGAUCAGCGAGACGGAACGCCGCUCCCCGUCCAGAUCGUGACACAUGUCGGCCUGAAAGUCAGAGUGCCGCAUUAAAUUCGGGCUAAAGCUUCGAACACAGAAGCGCCUCGUCGGAUCGUGUGGCCCCAUCAUGAGCCCACGACGCGAGGACGCUUCGAAAAACGAAAAAGUACCCUAAUGAUGAAACGUUUCGGAAAAGAGGAGACGCCGCCCAUUAGAAGCGCCUCGAAGCGCGCGAUAAUUCAAAAUUUUCCUAACCCGUAUUAACCCAAUUAAAACUACUUCCCGCGCUCGAGCUUGUGAUCAGCUCGAACUCGGAAGUCGGGGGUAGUGUUGGGGGAAAAAUAUAAGGCAUCCUGAAGCGAAAGGCGCCGACCAGAAAGCUCCCGACCAGGAAGCGCCGACCAGGAAGCGCCGACUAGGAAGCACCGACCCGGAGAGCGCCGACCAGAAGCGUCCGACCUGAUGACGCUCGGACUAGAAUGCGCCCAGCUUGGCAACUGGCUCGGCACCCGACCAGGUGCCGAAUUCCGAAAUGCCUUGUCCAAAUAUUCGACCCCGGCCUAACUCCGUAAGGAAGUCUGACUCCAGAUACGCAACCUCACCGUAUCCUGCCACUUUCGUCAAACUAUUAUUGCGCAUGGCCUCUGCAGGCCUCCAGCACACUCAACCAUUAAAUGGGCAUGGUUCAUGAUGAUCUCCGGUUCACUCAACCAUCAAAGCGUAUGACCUCUCCCAACCCCCGGUUCACUCAACAAUUAAAGCAUAUGGCUUCUGUCGUCUAUGGACAUUGAGCCUCUUACGGCAAACCUACUUGACAACUAUGAUAGCAUGAUUCAACGAUGACUCGAGAGCUUCGACCUAAUCUCCAACAGUAACAGCGUUGACUCACACGAUCGGGCAUUAAUUUCCACUCCAUACCAGAUUGUACGACAGGCCGUUUGCCCCGUCACAUCACAGGUAACCCAGCUCCCUCUAUAAAAAGGGGACUCCUCCAUUUUAAGAGGGGGGGAAGCAAAAAAACCAUACUCUCUACUAUUGUCUCCAUUCUCACACUUGCCCCCUCUGACUUAAGCAUCGGAGGGCCGGCGCCGGAAAUCCCGGCCACCGGCUUCUUGCAGGUCUUCCGGAGGACGCCACGCGUCGACGGACCGCCGCCGAUCACCNNNNNNNNNNNNNNNNNNNNNNNNNNNNNNNNNNNNNNNNNNNNNNNNNNNNNNNNNNNNNNNNNNNNUAGUAAUGACAAAAAGAACCACUAGAGCUUAUCAUCUAGAACAACAAAAAUAAUUGUCUCAAAUCACACAUUAUUUUGUGAAAAACACAUAACCUAGAUGAUUUAAGAAAAACAUCCAAGAACCCAAUCUUAUUAAAAAUUGAGAAAAAUAUUUUUUUAAAAGGAAAAUACAUCUUUUAGAUUUGAGGAGAACCAGGAACUUAAUUUUGUAUGACUACGAAAGAGCAUUUGAAGCUAAAUAUGAAACAAAAGUAAUGAAAGAGAAAAUGUUGCAACAGUAUCGGUGCAAAGCACUUAUUUCAGUUUAAAGAGAAGUAAAACUGCUAUAGUAAUGAUUGAAAGAACAACUGGAACUUACAUCCCAAACAGACGCAACUAUUUCAACUAGCACAUUUGAGCAAUGGAAACUUUUCUAUAAAAACAGCAUUUAACUUGGCACUAGAAAAAUUCAAGAACUGAACUUUUAAAAACUGUAGCAUUUAAUGAUUUGGGCAAAAUACCCAAUUUCUGAAAAUUUGAAGGAAGCUUAUUUUUUUUAUGAAUAACCAAUUAAAUGAUUUGAAAAAAAAAUCAAAAACCUAAUUUUGUAUGACCAGGAAAGAUCAUUUUAACUUUAAAUAUGUUUGGAAUAAAAGAACUGAAAGAGAGAACUUUGCAAAAGUAUUGCUAGAAAGUAAUUGUUUCAAUUUAAAGAAAAGUAAAAAGAACUAGGGUAACAAUAAAAAGUAAACUAGAACUUAUAAACCCAAACAACAAAAGUAACUGGUUUUUUUUUAUAAAAACACAUAAUUUGAACCAGGAGAUCGAAAAGUGUAAAUAACAACUGAAAUUCUUAAGAUUGAAAUAGCAGAAUUCCUUACUUCAGAAAAUUAAAAAUUAAUCGCCCAAAGCAAUAUCUGUGUUCAGGGAAAAUCUACAUUUUUCAGGAAAAACACAUUUAAAGAGUUGAAUAUUGUAAAAUUUUAAAUAAAGUGAAAAUGAACCGAAAAAAAAUUAUUUGUUUAAAGAAGAAUACCUGCAGCAAAAGAUAGCAAGAACUAUCAAAAUGUUUUUUUUCAAAAAAAAAAAGUCCAAACAAUUUCUUUUUUGUAAUAGAAACCAAAACAAACUCAGGUGCAUAUGAAGAAAUUUCCAGAAAAGCAAGAAAGUAGAACUAGAAAGAAGCAACAGGAUUUUAGUAUUUUCAAUAAAAGGAACGAUAAAACUUCGCAAGAAUCUCAGAAGAAAGUAACUACUCUAAUCCAAGGAUAAUAACAAGCUAUGCUACAACAAGAAGAACAAUCAAACAGGAUUCAAUGACAAAAUUUUGCAGUUCAUUCGCUACCUUAAUUGCUCAUAUUUAAAUUAGCGAGGCUGUAAAUUGGUGCACUUGAGACCACAUCUCCUAUCUCCAUUAUUCAAAUACGUUUACACAGACCCUACAGAUGUAGGUCACAAUUCCAGAGAAGAAUUGAUGUAUUGUUAAUACAUGAAUUACAAGAGCUCACAUACAUUUAAUGGGGUGUAACAUUUUGGGAUGGGAAAAGUAUCUCCAACUCUGUCCAGCACAACACUGGAAUAUCUUUUGCCAAAAACAAGAUUUGGUUUAGGUCAUGUUGAUCGAUCUGAUUUCAUUGUAACAGGAUUUGAUCAUUAGUUUAUUAUUCGAUCUAGGUCCACUUUUCAGGGGAACUUAUUGUAGAAAUAUGGGUUAAUAUUGGGCUGGGUUAGGCAGGAAAAUUUAUAAUCGAAUAUUGAGUUGAAAUUAUCCAAGCUGUCAACUCUAUUGUAGCCAAACUUGAAGUCCUAUUAGAGCUCGUAUUAAGCCAGAUGGUUCAUGUCUUCUACUUAACCGAAUCUGACCUAACUGGAAGUUGGAUUGACAUUUUCCAACCAAGGUCUGAUCAGAGUUCAUUUGGAUUGACAUAAGAAUACACUAGUAAAACUGCACUCUUAAGUUCCAAAUACAUGUAAAAUAAUAAAUAAGCUUGCAUACUAGUUCAGGUAUAUCUCAAUGAACAGUACAUUGCAUACCCAGGAAAUUAACAUAUUUUCAGACAUACAUCCCCCUGAGUUCAAUAUUACUAUGAAAUCAGACAAAACUAUCACCAAAUCAAUCUCCCGUAGCAUGCAUCAUGAUCAACAGAUAUUUAGUACUACCCAUUCAAUCAAAAAUGAGAAAUUCAUAAAAUAAAGUCAUUCUAGCAUGGCUAAAUGGAUGUGGAAAAGGAAAUACAACAUGAAAUGGAAGGGGAAAAAGAAGCUAUCUAUUCUCAUACUGGACAUUUGCCUAAAGCUGCGCAAUUUUUAUUAUUCAAGCUUUACAAAUCCAUAAUCUUCAGGAAAUCUAAUGAUAGAAGUACAUCACAAACUUUAAAAUGACAAAUGACAUCAUUGCAAAUGCUGUGUGCUGCCAUGAGCAGUCUACAUCAUGAAUUUCACAAACUAAGAAGUUCUUUGCUUUAUCCAAGGUCUAUGAGAAACUAUUCCACAUCAUGAACAGUACACAUUUGUAUAAAUACAAUGCAACCUCCAAUAAUUAUUAUUUACCGUCGAAAAUUCCUUGGAAUCGUAAUUGUGUGAUGUGCAGUAUUCAAGCACACGUAGAUGCAGCCUUGAUAGACAAAUUAAAUAAACCAAAGGAGCAGGACAUGCACAUACAUGUGUAUUUAUACAUCUACAUACAUCUUGUGAUGAUAAACGGGAUAGAAUAGUCAGCUGUAUAACUUCUAAUUAGCCAUCUGUUAACAAGUAAAUCUCCCAAAAUAAGCUCCAUGAACAUCACCUCUAUGCAACUAUGCCGCAAGUCUAUUGUGUAUUGUUACUUGAGGAGCUCGGUCACACAGUGAGGACUACCUUGCUUGCAGAGGCAAAGACAACCAAGGUACGCCGUUUCGAUACCAGACCUUGUACCGGUGCCACCCCGUUAUUUUGUCAGUACGCUCAGUACGAAGGUCGGUUCGACAUACCAAGUGUCAGUAUGUCCUCCGUACCGCAUACCGGUACCGAACUAGUACGGUAUGGUACGCUCCAUACUAUCCGGUUCGGUAUAGAAUGGUAUACCUUGAAGACAAUACUAUGAGCAGUAAGAGAAGAUGAUUAGACUUGUGCUACCUGCAUCACUCUCAUAUAAAUGGUACUGAUGCUCAAGGUGUUCUUGAUAAUACAUCAGAGUGCAACUUGAACCUUUGCAAACAGAGCUGAUCAUUCCCAAAGUUGGUAAUCAUUUUUCCAUUUCUUUUUCCUUCACAUAGUCAACAACAGAAGCUAUAGACUGAUAAUCUUCAACAUGACUAGACUUGGAUACUACGACAUCAACUAUCAUCAUUUUCUUACUGCUACCGAGUAAACUACAUCUUGCCCAUAAACAAACAAUUUGUUAAACAUAAUAAAAUACAACAAUCAAAACACAUUAAACAAAAUAAUCUUUUUUUCAUCAGUAUCUGUUACAUUGUUAGAUCGCCUAGAUGCCACUGAAAUUGCUCAUCUGCACACAAAAGAUGGAAGAAAAGCCUGUUAUUUCUUUUAUUUUUAGAUAUGCCAACCAUACCAAUUGAAUUUAUCUAAGAAGGAUCUAACAGAUGUAUCAUAUCAACUAGGUGAAACUCAACCAUACAAUACAAACAAGAAUGAAGCUGCUCAACCAUGAAAGUUUAAAAAAUUUAAAGCAUUAAUUUUAGUAAGAACAGAUUUGUGCAAUUGCACUUUUCAUCAUAAGCAUAAAUGAUGAAAAAUCCUAAGAAUUAAUCAUUUCAAUAAAGGUAACAUAUGUGAAAUAGAGCUCCAAUGAGAAUAUAAUCGCAUGUGGACUUGUUCUCACAAAUUAACUGAUUUGAGUAAUUAUAUAAAGAUUGAUUCUGACAAAGUUGAAAACCAAACUCGCUAAUUUUCCAAGACCAAUAAAGGUGCUUAAAGAAAAGGGAAAAGAAUAAGAAACAAGGAAUGGACUACAGAGAUAAACAUGCAGAACUUGAUCACUUAUUCUUGGUGGCUGAUAUUAUGGUUCUUGGGUCUAACUUUAGCCUCCAACUUAAUGAAUUAGAAGCAAAAUUGGUGCAAUAUAAAGAAUAGUGAACCAAGUGGCAACUCUAAGCCUCCAAUUUAUCAAGAAAAAUAAGAACACUGGCACUUCAUAACACAAUCAAUAUAUCAAAUUUUCCAUACUAAAGUUCAAGAAAACCAUGUCAUGGAUAUUAUAGCCUAUUAUUCACAUCAAUGCUAUGAUAGGCAAAUAAUUACUAGCAUCAUCUAAAUUGGAGAUCACAAUGUGCCUCUUGUUCGAACAUGAUAUUUCCAUCAUUUAUAUAUAUAUAUAUAUAUAUAUAUAUAUAUAUAUAUAUAUAUAUAUAUANNNNNNNNNNNNNNNNNNNNNNNNNNNNNNNNNNNNNNNNNNNNNNNNNNNNNNNNNNNNNNNNNNNNNNNNNNNNNNNNNNNNNNNNNNNNNNNNNNNNNAUUAAUCUAGACUUUGUGACAAAUUAUAAAAUCCAAGCCAGCUGCAUAGCCUACCAAGCUUUUAAACAUAAUCUGAUGUAGUCUGGCGUUCAGAUGAGUUUUAAUUAAACAUUUGUUCCAAGAAGCUUUUAUGCUCAUUUCAUUUUUCUCUUUUUUAUUUACUAUAUGCAAUGUUCUAGUACCUUAUGUUUGCUGCUCUUCUGGAAAAAUAACUGAGUGGAUGCAUAUCCAUCAAUGCUAAAAUUGUGUUCACAAUUCUGUGGAACUAGUUCUAGACUGCUUUGUGGAUUAAAGAAAAUAAGAUUAGCUUGAUUAGAUUAAGGGUCUGAACUUGAUUCUUGUUUCUUGAGGUUUAAGCCACUUAAGCAAUAUAAAGAGAGAAGUCAUCCAAUGAUUUAGAUAUUAUGGUGAAACUUUAUGAAAAAAACAAUAUGUAAUCCCUCUUACCUCACAUCAUAUUUUUCCUUCACAUUACCUUCCCUCUUACUCUAGUUCCUUUUUCUCUUUCACUUCAGAAAAUGUCCAAACUCAUUAUUAAAACCAUCAGAAGUCCUGAUUUCAUGACAAUAGUUUCCAGGGUGGUCGGGCCAUUAAACAAACAAGAUAACUCUUCACAGGGCCUCCACUGGCGUCUCCAGACUCCGCAACGUUGCCGCCACGUCCCGGCUCGAAAAUUUUAACCCAAUUCCCUUUCAAAGCUUGCUUGGCGAUGCGCUCUCUGAUGGGCCUUCCCUGUUUCUUAGAAUCGGCUAACCCAUGUGCACGUGUCGUGCACAUGGAACCUUUCCCCUCUUUGGCCUUCAAAGUUCUCAUUUGAAUAUUUGCUACUACCAUCAAGGUUUCUCAGAAAUUCAAGAAUUCCAAACAUGAUAAUCUAGUCGAAUUUUCACUUUUUAGAAAUUGCUGAAUUAUAUUUCCAUCAAAAGAAAGCCCCUAAUUGCAAUGGCUUUUUCACCUAUUUGAAACAAGUAAAUUGAUCUCUUUGAUGUUCUGAAAGUUUUUCAGGUUCCCAGAUGUCAAGCGUCAAACAGAACUAGACUGAAGAAAAUUGAUCUCAUCACUAUUUUCAACACAUAAGCAAGUACGUGGUGCCAGGACAGAAAGCAUUUAGCAAAUCUAAAUUUGGAGAAAAUAUGUGCAUAUCAGGCAUAGAGUAAGGACUGUCUAACCAGUUAACGGCAUGGGUUAGGAUCGCUUGAACAAAUGGUGCGACAACAUCUCUGAUAUCCCCAAGGCUGAAAGGCUUUUGCAUCCAAAAAGUUGUUGAAGUUUAGAAUCACACAAAAUCAUCAUUCCGUUCAUGGGGUCCUAAUACAAAUUACAUUAAACAAACAAACUAUUAAAAUUAAACCAUGAGAUAUUGAAUCUGGCUGGAGAUCAAAAAAAGGCACAGAAAAAUUACACAAAAGAAAAGACUAACCUCCAGCUGGUUAUUUUUUAUGUAAUCCCAAACACGCCUCAAAGCCUCCGAUUGAAGCAUCUCGCUUUCUCCAGUUCCAAAAAAAUUGGCCAGUGCAUCAGAGAUAACAACAGGAUAUUGAUCAGCAUCAGGUUCUGUUGCAGAAACCAAUUCUGUAGUUGUAGCCUUCAACUUUUUAGACUCGGGACCUGGAUCUCCUGCAAAAAAAUGAAACAGAUUUUAGUAUUGUUCACCUGUGGCAUAUUUGUACGACACAAACCCAAAAGAAAAUGCCUUACUUGUAGAUUCAAGUGGUAUUAUAUGCUUAGCUAACAGCUUAUUCAUCUUGAACAUGUCAGUACAAUCAGUCUCAAAAACCAUACGGAGUUCAUCAUUGCAUAUGAUCUUCCUCUUGUUAUUAGGAUCUUGAAGAUUAUUCUUACGGAUAUAUGCCCACAGCUGCUUCACAAUCUGAAACAAGAUACACAUGCUGUUUGAUAUUCUUAAACAAGUCCAAAAUAUUGACUAUGGGUUUUCAAAAAUGGAGCUCCGAAAAGACGAACAUUUCAAAAGAAAAUGUUCAGUCAGCAGAAAGAAGAACCUGAGUCCUUGCCAUGGUUGGCUCACCAACGAUGGCCUGCAGUUGAGGUGAAACACCGCAAACUUUACUUAGACCCCCUGGUCCACCUCUUCGUUUAACUCCAGCAGGAGCACUGAAACAUAAAUCAUAAGUGUGAGUGAACACAUCAACAUCAGACAACUAGGCAAUGCUAUUGAUGUCUUCACGAAAGCCUGUACUUUAAGUGCAUAGUGGGUAAAAGGUAUGCCUUUUUGUCGUUAGUAAAUGAAUAGCCUUUUGCCCAUCUAACGUCUUUUGCCUUUUUGGGUACGAACAAGAGAUUGAGACUGUGAUAAAUGAAUAACCAAUAUCCUACUAAUAAGAGUUCUUUUUUGAUUGGCAUGCUUAGGUAUCUGUAUUCAUAUCAUUUUUUUAUAAUUCUGAUUUUGGGGAAUACCACUCAGGUACCUAGGACUUUGCAUAAAUGAAUUAGUAAGCUGCAUCCAGAUUUUCUUACACCAUAUUUAUUUUCUUUAUCAAUUCUCGUUCUUUCACCACCUCCCCCACCCCCCCCCACUUUAAAAGAAGGAAGACAAUGUAGUCAAAUAAAAUUAUAAAUGAAAGGUUUCUACCCAAGAGGGAGGGAGAGGCAAAUGCAAGACGGAAACAAGCUCUUCUUUCAAGGUUCCUCAAACCAACACUUCAUAUCCAAAUAAAAGAAUGUGUCAACAAAAACAAAAUGCUUUCACAGCUGAGCUUGUAACUGUUAAAACCCUUCGACUUAUCUGGUUCAUAACAUAUUUUCCUUAAAACCAUCCCACCAAUUGCAAAAUAAAUCAGUUUGCAUGCUCUACAUGGUAGUUAAAACUGAUGCAGAAAUCUUGGAGAUUGAAUUCAGUACACAGAGGUCACUAGCAUGUAACAUCCAGUCACCUAUACCACAAAAAUGUUCAAAGAAAAACAAAAGCCUUAACAGCCAGAGAUUGACCCCACCAUCCUACAGAGUUUGCAGUCAUGGCUGUGACCCCACAGCCCAAAAUUGCUUCUAAAUAGUUUUAGGUAGCUUAUCAACUUUGUAGUUGGUAAAUGUGUGAACAUGCCCCUCAACCAUUCACAUCCUAAUAAGAAUCUUUAACGAUAGUUCGUCCUCAAGACAGUUCUUCCACCCUGAGUCAUAAUUUUUUGCAUUCACACCAUCAGUAGGGAGUCUUUAUAGUCCAUUAACCCGAUCAGCAUAUUGCUUAACCACUACCUGUAGGGUGACAACAUAUUGGAGUGACAGCAAGGAGAAACUCUCGUUUUCAAAAGAUUAUGAUAAGAUAUUGAUCCUAAUCUUUGUCUUUAAUCUUCAUUUUAAGCAUCUAGACACAGACAAACACACACACAAAAAAAAGAGGAGUGUGAAUAAUUAUAAUCAUGACCCCACUAUUUACUUAUAGAGAAUUUACAUUGGAUGCUUAGUUUAAUUUUGGACCACUAAAAUGUUCCUUGUUAGAGACAUGACAUGCAAAAUGCAUAACUAUUGUGGAUCAGUAGGUUCGUUACAAAAGCCAAAUCAUACAUGUCCUAAAUUUUUAAGGCCAAGACAAAGUUUUCAAAUGGCAUAAAUCUUUGCUAACAGAAGAAAAAGGACAAGGACAUUUUUAUGCACCUUUCCUGAAUUUCCUUUGUUCAGCAAGAAGAGAACUUACACACUUUUUAUCAAUUGCUGAUCUCAACAGGACUAGUUAAUUUAUUUAAGUCAACUUUGAAAUUCUUUUUAGCUUAGAAUUUCCGUCAGUCUAAAAGAUUUGCCCAACAUUUUUCUUUGUUCACCAUCCUAAGACUUCUACCCUGAAUUCUUUGGGCCAUCCAUUCUAUUCUCCAAUCCUUUGACACCAUAUGCUCCCACCUUUCUAAGCCCUCCUUUAAUUUCCGUUGCAUAUAUCAUCCCAGUCCUCCAGUUUAAUGACACCUAAUUCUCUUGCAAUGAAACUCAUAAGAUUUUCUGAAUGUAUGAAGUUUAAUUUUGUUCAAGCUAAUUUUAGCACACUUCUCCACAUCACUUCCCAAAAACUCAAUUCACAAAUAUGUCCCCGUUUUGUCGUAUAACAUCUACAUGGACACACCAAUCGAUAUCCUAUUCAUGUUGUUGACUUAAGAGAUUUACCCUUAAGUUUCAGUUCCAUAUAAUAACUUCAAGAGUACAAACCACUUUGUCCACCUUGCUUCAAAUCAAUUUUAUGGACAGAAGUGGAUCAACAUGUCCCUUUUGCUCAAUCAUAGGUGAAUACCAAGUCUACAUUUUUAAAACCUCAUUUGUGUCACUGCAUUUUAUUCCCCACCUAACACAGUAGGGGAACUCAAAGCCACUGCAACUCCAUUUGGAAGCACCAACUUCCAAUGGCCAUAACAGUCAUCUGAAAACUAUUAUUGCACACGAGCUUCCAGCUCAUUGUAGCGAUUGGUGUUAUCAAAAUAGCAUGUCUUACAUCUAAUCACUUCAAUUUUCAGACAAACCUCUCUCCCACAUUUUUCAUUUAUUGACAAACCACCCUCUCAGCCAUCCCGUUUAUUUUCACACUUCAAAUUUUAAAAGAGUAUAAAUGCUCACCUAAUCAAAGUGUUCAUAAAGCAAAUUCCAAGGGUACCAAAUUUUAAGAUGCAGCAAAAAACCUUUUUCUUCAACCAAACAUGUGCGUAAACACUAGUCCAUAAAGAAGAUCAUUUAAUUAUUCACAGUAAAUCCAGAUCCGUAGUUUAGUCCAGCAAAUAUUAUUUUACAUGCAGACAUCCAAAAUUUUACAACAACCAAAUCUCUACUAUUUCACCGCCUCCAGGUUCAGCAAUUCCCAAUUCAAAAAAAAAUGCCCCUUUUCAAGACACAAAGUGUCAAUCUUCCAAAAUUCCACAUUCCCCGCCCAAGAUAACUCUACCCCACCAACCUAUUUCCAUCUCAUCAUCCGCAUUAACAUAUUUUUUUUCCAAAAAACAAAAAAACAAAAGGACGCAACUUUACUUUAGUCAUUAAAAAGCACGCAACUUUCACACCAACCAAAACCCUAAUUUCAAAAUUGGGCAAGAAAGAAGCAAAAAGGAGCCACCUUUCUUUCUGGGCAGACGCGGCAUGCUGCGGAGUGGCCGUUGCCGGCAGCGGCGGAGGCUGGUGGUGCUGCUGCUGUUCCUGGAGCUGCUGGUGCUGCUGCUGCCGGAGCUGCUGCUGGGAUGCCGCCAAGGCCGGGGGUGGCGGCGGAGGGUAGCGGAAGGAGAGCUCUUGGUGGUGGAGGAGGUGGGAGAAGGGGGAGGAGGAGGCCGGGGGGAGGGGCUGGAAUUGGGGGCGGGGGUGGUGCAGUGGGUGGGGCUGGGGGUGGAAUUGAUGGUAGGUUUGGAGGGCAAAACAGUCUUUGUGGGGACCGAGGAGCAGGUCGAUCUGGUCGCGGAUGAAGCCGGCCUUGUGGGAGAGGUCGAGGCCGAGUUUGGCCUCCAGCUCCCGGACGACGCCAUUAAUGGAGGCGAUGGCGUUGGGGCCCGACUGCCUGAGGAGAGACUCCACGCAGCUCGCUAUCUCCUGAUCCGACACCAUCGCCACCAAAUAGCAUCUAACGGGGAUUUAACGGCAAACAAAAAUUAAGAGAGAGAAAAAAAAAUCAAAUCCUUCACCGUUCCCCUGCGCUCUCUCUCUCUCUCUCUCUUCUCUCUCUCUCUCUCUCUCUCUCUCUCUNNNNNNNNNNNNNNNNNNNNUACAAUCCUUCACCGUUCCCCUCGCGCUCUCUCUCUCUCUCUCUCUUUCUCUCUCUCUCUGUCUCUGUCUCUGUCUCUCCCUUCUGUCGCUCUUAAAUGGAAUAUAUUGACGGAAAUGCCCUCGACGGGUGCGGGCAAUUACGGGGGAACAUAACUGCAGUUCCGUCCCCCUAGGGCCACCGGGAUCCGGCUACUCUACCGGUGAGAUUACCUCAGUAUCUAAACCGAGAAGCUCAUGGAUUUUAUAUUUUACUAGUGAAUAAAAAUGGGUCUUAGUUUGACUGUGCAACAGUUAUAUUCAUCAAGGAAAUAACAACUUUAACUCAUGCAAGACAUCACUUAAAGCUUUCAAGAAGUAUACAGUAAAAUAAUAAAAUCAAUUUAGUAUAGCAAAAUCAGAUUUUGAAGCAAAAUUAAGAGCAAAAUACUAUGUAUUGCAUAUGCAACCCCGUGAUGCAUGUAUGAUUAUUUAUUGCUCCAUGUAAUAAUGAAUAUUUCUGGAUGAUUGCAUAUAGUUAAACGUUACAAAAGCAAUUUAGAUAUGAUCAAGUUUCAUUUAAUUCAAAAUCAUUCUUCAUUUAGCUGUUCAAUUACGACCAUCCCUACAUAUGGAUCCCAACUAUCAAAGCAAGUCAUUAAACAUAACUAAGAAUAUAUUGCAAGUAGAUCCUAUUAUCUAUUCUAUCAAUUAGAAUGAGUGCCAUUUAUAGAUUGUAGAAACAAUUAAAUAGAAUUUCAAAUUCAAACUUUUUAGUAAUAAAAAAUUAGAUGUGUGCAAGCUAAAAGAAGCAGGUUUAUCAUAACAAACAAAUCACAAUUUAUUUUAAAAAUAUAAAAAGUCUUUGCUUUGGACAUUACAAUUAUAAUUUAUGUAGAAGGAGGGUAUAUGGGUUGAUCCAAAAAAGAUUCAAAGUUUGAAUAAUCGUGCAUGAUGAAACAUCGUCAGCAUUAUACUUCCACAAUUUUAACUCCAAAAACUUAAAUAUUUUAUUGAAUAAAAGCUGGUCUAAUUAAUAAGUAAUGCCAAAAAUACUUAGAAAAAAAAUUCAAAAAUGAUCCUAGUCAUAAAAAUAAUUAAAAAAACCAUCUAUAGAGUAAUAUAAUUCAUCCUACUCUAUAUUAGGAGUUCUAUUAAUUAUUUCAUAGGCUACAUUAGCUAAUUAUCUCUUAGCUAACUUUUUUUCCAUAUGUGAUAAAAUGAGGCUCAAAGAUAAUUGCAGUAACCAUUUCAAGCCAUCUUUUUUAAUAUUUUGAUUGGAUAUAAGAAGGUUUUUAUAAACUAGGCCAUUGUGUUUGCUCAGAAAGAGAAAAGAAAAAGGGUUGAAUUUUAUUAAAGCCUAAAUAUUUAAUCACGGGGUGGUGACCAAACUCGAGAGGUUUUGGCACGGAGUGGGCGAGGGGUUGGGUGCCGGGUAGUUUUGACGUAAAAGGAUGUCCCUUUCUUGAUUUGUCGUUGUGGAAGGUGACGGCCGGUGAUUCAGGGCCAAGCCAAAGAGGUGGGUGCCCAUUUCUUGCUACAUAACAUUUAAAAUUUAUUUUAAGAGGACUCUCCUGAGGUGCAUAUAUCCAAAAGCUAAUGGAGCUACAAAUUAAAUGAUUUUGUUUGUUGCUCAUCAUUCUAACAAAGUGAUGUGGAUGGAUAAUGUUUCUUAAGAGCUUCUCAGAAUAUAUUAUUUUUUGUUUUUUUUGAGAUAUAUUCAUGCUAGAUUAGUGUGAAUCACGUGGAAGGCUUAUAGUCUACGUUAAUAUCCUCGAUCUGCAGGUACUUUAUGAUGACGAUGGAUGUGAGAGUGCAACUGUGCAAAACUUGAUGAUGACUCUUCUACGUUCUCUUGGAUUAACAACAACUACACCCAUUCUUCUACCUGAUGCCUUUUGUUUCUUUUUUUUUUUUUUAAGGAAACAGCCUUCUCUUGUUAUUAGAUGCAUGGAACAUCGAUCUAUUUCAAAUGAAAUGAAGCGAAGCCUCUUUAGAAAUCCAACUGCAUUUUGGAACAUACAGCAUGCUCAUAAUUAAUGCCAGAUAGCAGAGAUUGAUGAUACGUUUUUAGAGAAGGCCAUAAUUGCAUAAAUCCUGUUAUGGUUAUCAGUCAAGAGAUCACUAAAUAUUAGUGUAAAAGUCCUUCUGUCCAAUUUGAAUUAGUUUAAAUGACCAGGUUGAGGUACCCGGACUAGCUCUCCACAUUGCAUUCAUAUGUAAAAUCCUUUUGUUAGUUCUUAACUAGUCUCGGCAGUGGUGGCACAGGAACCAAUUCUGAGUUAGAUGACUUGUAAUACUUUGAUUACAGGGGAGUCCCAUGUAAAAAUCCUUACGUCAAUUUUUUGACGUAGACUCAGCACCCCGGCUGCCGAGACUAGUUCAAGGGUCGACACAAGGGUUUUUACAUAGAACUCCCUAUAAACCGUCAAUAUCCCUAAAUUUUUACAUGAUCAGGUGCUGGUGAUCAUUCAUCUCUUGGCUGGGUGCACGCGGGGAGCCAUCAAGAUCUCCACCCUCCUCCGCAUCGAAAUAUAAGUUGUUUCAACUCAUUAUAUAUAGGGUUAGAUUAGCUAUUUAAUAAAAUAGUUGAGUGCAAAUCUAAAUUUUUGACCCAUUUGAUAAAUAGGUCAGGCUCGGGUUGAUAAAUUUUUAAUAUAUUUUGUAUGAAAUUUGACCCACAUCUUGUCCACCCAAUCCAAUUGCCGUCUCUGCUGGACAAAGGCAAAAUUUGAAGUAUGUGAUCAUGAGACUCCGGAUGAUCUGAUCCUCUAACAAAAGUGUUGGUAGAGUAGUAGUAGAAACUUGCCAUGGCGAAGCCUAUACUAAGGUUAAAUUGUGAAUAACCAAAGUUGGGAUUAUCUACUACUAAGUGAUUGUUGAUCUCCUAUUUGAUUUUAAUGAGUCUAAAACAAUUGAAUAUAUUUUAUAUUGUACUAAUAAAUUCAAGUGAGUGUUUCAGAAAAAAUACUUUUAAACUUGAAAGAAUGCCUUGGAAUAUGGUUCAAGGAAUUUAAGUAGAACUUUACUCAUGUUUGGAACCAUUAAAGCAUCUGCCUUGCACUCGAGUCGACUUCCAAAAUUCUCGAGUCAACGCUAGCACAUGGUUACUGUCUGCACUUCCUCGAGCCGACUCCCAGAUAACGUGAGUCAACUCUUACAGUAAAGACAGAGAGCAAUUUUUCAAGUGCAGAGUGCGAGUCGACUCCAACUAUUCACGAGUCGACUCUUACAGAAAAAAUAGAGAGGUAAUUUUUAAAGCACGGUGCUCGAGUCGACUCCAACUCUUCGAGAGCCGACUUUACAGGAAAGUCAGAAAGCAAGUUUUCAAAAUACAGUGCUUGAGUCGACUCCAACUGUUCAUGAGCCGACUCUUACAGAAAAAACAGAGAACAAAUUUUCAAGUUACAGUGCACGAGCCGACUCCUAGAAGUUUCGAGCCGUCUCCCUCAAAUUGAAAUUACAAAGUAAUUUCUUCGGCACAAUGGCCAAGUCGACUCCAACUAUUCAUGAGUCAACUCCUACAGGAAAAGGCCGAGAGCAAUCUUGCACAGACUAGAAUGCGAGCCGACUCCAGAAUUCCUCGACCUAUCUCCUGAAAAUAGUUAGUAGUUCACAUUUGAAAAUGCCGUGGGCGAGCCGACUCCAGAUUUCUUGAGUUGACUCUUACAAGAUUUACAGAUAGCCAAUUUGUAAGAAUCCGAACUCGAGUCGACUCCAGAUUUUCACAAGGCAUCUCUUGUUUCAGCCGAGCCGACUCCAAGAUGGGCGAGUCGACUCCGAUCCCAAUGGAUACUUUGUCAGGAUACGCAGUUUUGUUAGAACGGUUCUUUUCUCCUCUCUAACGGCUAGUUUUCGAAGAGAUAAGUUAUAAAAAGUGGUUUUAAGUAUUAACCACAAGAAGAGAAAAAAUCCAUUGAGAGCAUUUAAGUCUAUCAAUCACCGAAGGAGAGUUAGAGCCAUUCAAAGAGAAAAGAGGAGUUAUUGCAUCCCAAGCGAUUUCUGAGCACUCCUCACAUUAAAGGCUUAUUGAAGUGAUCCUCAACUACAAGCACAUUCAAGAGAGGAUCCAAUAAAGGAGAAGCUAAGUUCUCCAUCGAUAAAAUCUAUUUGAGGGCUUCUUUCUUUACAUUUUUGUCGAUAUUGCUAUAUCUGCUUAUUUAGAAGCUUGUAAUCUUUAAACCUUAUUUCUUUAUUAUUUGUUACUUGAUUCAAUCUCGGGGUUAAGGUUUGUUGGUGAGUCAGAAAAAACCAACAGGAUUGUUUGUGAGCCCAGAAAAACAAACAGAGAGGUUUUAGUCGGUGAGCCAGGAAAAACUGACCAAGUUCAUUGUGAUCCUGCGAAAACAACAAGUUGGGUUGUGAGCUUGUAAAACAACCGGGCUAUAAUCUUGAGAUUAUAGUGAACUCCCAAGAGAAGCUUGGGGAGUAGACGUAGGAGCAAGGGUUGGCUCCGAACCACUAUAAAAACCUUGUGUUUGUGUUGUGAUCUAUCUUACUUACUUCUUUACUGCUUUCUUAUAAAUUACUCAAUUACAUUUGCUUAAAAUCAAGAAAACUUUCAUUAACCACAUUAGAUAAAAUUUGAAGAACCCAGUUUUAAUUAGAACCCAAUUUCUUCCCUCUCCCUCUCUUGGGUUGUCUUCUGGGCAACAUCUACAGCAUGCAAAAACUCUUGCUCGAGGUAUCAAUAAUACAUCCCUAAAUGCAAAUCCUCGCCAAAAUUAGUUAUUUACCAUUACAAGGGAAAUGCUGGCCAUUAUCUACAAUAGAAUGAGUGUGGCUUGUAUAAUGUUUGCUAGCACUAAUAAUAGGAAAGAAAGUAAAAUAAGUUAUUUGAUCACCCCACUGUUUACAGUAUACAUAUUUGUUUUUUUUGAACAAAAAUAAAAUUUUUAGUUUAACACUUCAAUUGGAGUCGCAAUGAAAUUGUCAAAUAAUGGUCUCUCAUUUCUAUUGCAUGAUAAAAUUAUAGUAGAGCAGUGGCCAAAAUGAUAACCACUGUAUAAAUGCCAUUUAUUCAGAAAAACACCAUUCGAACAGCUGCUGCAAUGUUAUAUUGGCCGUAAUUAACAAACCCUGUUCUCAUGCAAUUUAUAAAGACAGGAGUUAGGUUGCAGUGCUUGAACUAUUCAUUUCUUACAGCCCUCUACUGGCCUCGGAGUUCUUCUGGUUUCAGGUCUCUGGACUCUAUUAUCAAAAGAUAAAAGAGGAUUAAAAGUAAAUAAAAGAUGUCAAGAUAAGCCUGCUGCAUCCAUUGCCCAUGUUGCACCACGUAAUAGAAGGCAUAGCUCUCCUUGAUGUAAGUCAACAAUCUAAUAUGCUCCCCAAGACCUGUUAAUAUUCUGUGGCUGAUGUUCAUAUCCUGACCAUUUCUGAAUCACAAAAAAGGGAAAACCAAGCAAACAAAUACCCAUUCAUGUCCAAGAUUAUGCUGAAGAAGCUCACUGGAUAAAUCCAUGCAUAGGAUCCUUCCUGUGAACAAAUAAAUUACUAAACGGUACAAGCAAUAUGUAUCUUCAGCUCAUCGUAAAGCACAUUUACAUGAAAAUCAUGAUGUAUGAUAUAGUGCUUUUCUACUUGAUAAAUCAACCUCCAAACAAGAGAGACGUCCCAUGUUGCUGUUGACUGCAGAACGUGACAGGUUCAUAAGGUAUCUAUUAUCUAAAGACAAGCAUAUGUACAUAAAGCAAGCAUAUAUUCAAAGCAAGGUUCACACUACCGGUACCGGACUCCGUACCGGUGCCACACUAGCAUAGUAUCGAUACAGUACGGUAGGAGAUUUUUUUUGCAUUUCGAGGGUCGGUACGCUACCUGUACCGGUACCAGUACUGAACCGGUGUAGUACAAUAUGUCCAGUACAGUCUGAUACGGUAUACUACAGCAUACCAUGGUUCAAAGUGCUGCAACUUUGUACCACUAAUUUCGGUCAUGAUCUAGGCCAAAACAUGCCGCAUUGCCUUGUAUGGUAGUCCAGAACUUGAACCAAGGGAUUUACAACUUUAUUUAGUCGAUAGGUUAAAAUGGUCCGCCAAAAACUGGCCUCAUGUACUCGUCAUCAAACCUCCUCCAGUAGGCAUGUAUGGUGUGGACUGGCCUUGCAAGCAUCAGCGAUAAACUGCUCUUGGCUUGGAGAAUAGCAGUGGCAGCAGAACCAUCAAGUGAGAGCAAGGGGAAGGUGACAUCAUUAUUUGCGGAGUCGUCGUGUGGCUGGUUAUUUUCUCGUGCAUGAUGAGGUAGCAGUAUGCUUAUGAGUGGUUUUGUUACACAACCAAACACCUGCAAGGCACGCAGCACUUUAACUAUAUGAUCUAUGACAAAAACGAAUAAAAAAAAAGAAGAUGCCAAUAAAACCAAAAUCAAGUUGUCUAUGGAAAACAUGCUGCUAUCAGGGAGACCAGCUAAAAUUAGCCAUUUGUAAACACCGGUUUACCACAGGAGGCUGGUGCUGCCUUCAUAAGCUCAUGACAGUCAGAACUCGGCAAUCACUGAACUUUCAGUUCAGUUCCCUAAACAAACACUGGUUCUCGGUCCACUCCAUGACAUGAAUUUGAGCAGCUAAAAAUGAUCCUUCAAGGCAUCAUUCAGGAAGACUUGCAUGGCUAUUUUGUUUUGCUUAAUCAAUGCCUUCAGGCUUGAUUUCAAUCAAAGAAAAAGAAUAGAUAAAUGGGGCCAGCUUGUCUGCUAAAGCCAGGUAUGGUGCAAGGAAAAACAGGAUUUAGAACAACCGACAUGCACCUGACUUCACGCAACAAGCUCUCAAAUGUAGGAAAGCAGCUUCGCUAUGUUUAAGGAUGAAUGAAGAUGGCGGGAAAACUUGCAUGGCAGUCAGGAUGGAAACCAUCAAGGGGGAAAAAGGUUUAAGCUGACAGAGGUAUUAUCCCCUGAAAGAAUAUAAUACGAGGCAGAUUUGGUGCGGACAGCAAAACAGUUGGGAUAAUAUUUAUCGGUUAUUUUUAUGAUCAUUAUAGACGUUACAUUUCAUGUAUGGAAAAAAGAGACAUUUUUGCUAUCUUUAACAUACCAGAGUGCUGAAAAGUACGACUACGACGGUGCUGGUGAUCAUUGUUGCAUGAACAGGAUCCCAUGUAACACCAUAAACAGUGAACUGUGGAAUGACGGAGUAAAUAGAUAAAUUGUUAGCACAAGAACACAUUACUGAAAUAUGUUUGUAUCAUGUUUAAAGAUAUCACAUUGUAAUGCCUAAUCAACGGCAACCACCUGACUAAAUGCCAGUGCAACAGAAACAGCUCCCCUCAUUAGACCAGCCCACCAGAUUAUAACCUGCUAACAUGCAAAAUGUUGCAACAAAUGGCAUCGUAAGAAUGAAUAAGGUUAGUUUUACAGUAAAGAUGAACAGAUAUUAGCUAAUUCAUCAUUUCCAGGUAGCCUGGAAACUGAUACAACAGAUGGAAAAUAAAGGCCAGAGGAGAUGCAACCUGGUGCUUGAACGUAAUUAAUGACCCUUCAGAACUUGAGCUCAUAUGGUUGAAUAAAGCAUAGAGAGGAAAUACAAAAGCAGCGCGUCCCAGGAUAACAAGAAACAAGAUGAUGCUAUAGAUGCCGAAGGAUGUCUUCCAGCUGCCAAAAUAACAUAAUUCUUCAGACUGAACAAUGCAAAAUAAUUUACUUCAAGAGCUUUACGUCUGAGGUGGUAAAUAGCUUGAAUCUUUUGUAUACAAUUCUGAAGAUAAAUAGCUAGUUUCACAAGAAACAAGUCAGAUAUAAAGCAGAAUUACAUUUGCUGGUAAUGAGUGAUGUUAUAAAAGGUUGUCCAGCAACCGACAAACAAAUUUGAAGAGCAAAUGGGAGAUGCCGGUAUUGAAAUAUAGACCAGUUCAAAUUAGUAAACCAAUAUGAUCUUAAGUAUAAUGCAUGAGGCUGACCCAAGUUGUUAUCUACUUUCACUAGGAAGCGGCCAGAGUAGUGAAAGCCCAUCUGGCUAAACAUCAGCUAAUCAGUCAGUUGUGAUCAUGCCGCAUGACAUGCUUACAUUGCAGGUUUAAAUAUCCUGCAUUUAUCCUUGGUUGUGCCUCAUAACCAUUUAAGGAGAAAUAAUCUAUAUAAAAGUAGCAAAAGAACAGACUUAGAGCAUUUCUCUUAAAAAAAAGAUUUUAAACAGAUAAAAUGAAUAUUGGGAAAAGGCAGCGAUUUCUCAAUGUGAUUUCUCAAUGUACAUUCUCAAAUAUAAUUCCUGUGUGCGCUUCCAUAACAACAAUGUUAGAAAAGAUCAGGAUCUCUAGUUUGAAUGAAUUUGUCCACUUUUCUCGUUUAAAAAAGAAGUGGAGGUUGCAUGUCUAUGUCAACUGGGUAGUAUAGUUAUGCCUCGGUAGUUCAGUUAUGCCAGUUUGUUUUUCUUUGCUUCGUUACCUAUUCUCAUAAAUUCCAAACAUAUUUGAAAAAGAGUACAAUGGUUUUAAGAAUGAAUGGCCAUCAAUGGAUUAAUUAAUAUGAUAUGGAAGUCCGCAAGGCACUGAUAAAAUAGAGAUAUUUGGGAAUGCCAAAUCAUAGUUUAAGCUUCCUCUAAGACAUGUUUGACAAUUGACUAGUGCAAUACAGCUCAGUUUGUUGACAGGUAUAUCAGCAAUAUCAAAGCUGUUUGACCAAACACAAUGUUCUAAUGGAGGAAAAAAGCAAAAAGGAGUCAUCUCUAGCAGUUGCAUGUUAAGGGCUUAAUGGCAUGUCUCAUUAUGGAAGAGAAUUCAUCUGACAGACAAUCUCUCAUUAGUGCUAUCAAGACAUCUGAUAUAAAUUAUGUAGCUAACCAGUAACCACCUUGUCUUGGUUGUCUUCCACUUCUCAAUGUCGAGGGCAUCCAUCCCCACAUAAAGAAAAAUGAAUGUUUCUGCCAUGAAUGAUAAUGUCGCAAAAAUAUGCCUGCUAAAAACAAUAAGACAAAUAUUGAAGAGAAAAUAAUACUUCCAACAAGCACACACUGUACAUUACAUAUUUUGAAGGCAUAAGAGGUAUUAUGAAUCUCCUAAAAAGCACAAGCCUUACUUCACAUAUUACCAAAAGCCCUUGCAAAAUCAAAAGUUAAAUUAGCUAUGAACAAUCUUAGACCACAACUAAAGCUGAUGAAUGUCGUAUAAAUCUAACAACUAAUUAAUAAAUCAACUGAACAGAUGCUAUUAUCAUAACAUGUAUUAAGAUCUUAAAGGCAUACAAUAAGUCAUUUUGUAUGUUAAAUCUCACUAACCACCCUCUUCAUAAUCUAUGAUAUAUUAUGCAGUAUCUUUUGAUAUUUUGUGUGUUUGAGUGGAGUUUAGAUGCAAAGGCAAAGGCAUCGGGCAAGGCUUCACUGCAUUUUGCUACCAUUCAUUACAUUAUCUGCAGAAUUCAAGUUGGCAUUUGUUUGCAGGUCAUAAAUCUUGUAGUGAAGACGCUAGUUGUUGUAUGGGUCCUAUGCUUUAUUUUUGGUACAAAUCUUCCUCCAAAAUACCACAGGUAUUGAAACUCAUUACUCCAAUCACCAAUAAAUAUUUGUUGAGGCAAUCAAGAUAUGUUAUAGUGGUUCCUCAAAGUGUUUCAAAAUUCAGUAAUCUGAUCUUCAUAGUCAAGCUUAAUGGUCAUUGUUGCGGGGACGGAUGCUUUGGCCGGAGCCUCACGCAACAGUUAGCCCACAUUAAGCUAGCAGAGAAAGAGGACUGCGUUCCUCCCGAGGUAUUGUCCGCUUUGGGCGCUCCGGCCCGCAAGUCCAGCGCAGACGGGAGGAGACUGGUGCCCUCACGGUUUUGUCCCACAAAAGGGCCCUCGAGAGGAAAGGAUUUCCACCCCCCAUUUAAGGCACAGAACCUUUCCGCUACUAGCCGAUGUGGGACUAAAUUCAAGGUCCCCUNNNNNNNNNNNNNNNNNNNNNNNNNNNNNNNNNNNNNNNNNNNNNNNNNNNNNNNNNNNNNNGUAGUCAAUGGAGAGAGGAGGUGGGCCCUCCUUCUAGCGCCAUCUGUUGCGGGGACGGAGGCUUUGGCUGGAGCCUCACGCAAUAGUUAGCCCACAUUAAGCUAGCAGAGAAAGUGGACUGCGUUCCUCCCGAGGUAUUAUCCGCUUUGGGCGCUCCGGCCCGCGCGUCCAGCGCAGACGGGGGGAGACUGGUGCCCUCACGGUUUUGUCCCACAAAAGGGCCCUCGAGAGGAAAGGAUUUCCACCCCCUAUUUAAAGCACAGAACCUUUCCGCUACCAGCCGAUGUAGGACUAAAUUCAAGGCCCCCUCCCCCUCCACAACAGUCAUUAAUUUACAAGAUAUUGAAUCUUCCAUACUAAAUUUUUUGAGGACAUCUUUUUUCCCCAAGUGGAGAGAUGCUUGGCAUCUUCCCUGACAGUGACAGAAACAACCUUCAGGCUUCCCGUUAUACAUAUGCAGUUAAGGCUACCGCUUCAGCAGAUCUUACCCAAUUUGUGGCUAUAUCCAGUCAAGAUAUUAUAAUCGAGCAAUUUAAAAUUUAUUAGCUAGCGAAUCAGCAAAAUCAGAUUAAAAUGGUGAUACAGUCUAAUCAAUCAGAAAUUACAGAAUGAGAUGUCUCACACAUGUGAAAUAACUGAAGAACCUUUAUUUGUAAUUGAAAAUAUAAGAAUUCCAGUACCAGUACAUUCUAAACCAUCUCCAUGGAUAGAUCAUCAAAAAUUACCUAGUUGUGGUUCUUGAGUUAUCCCUAACAUUAUGCUGUGCAUAAUGUGACAUGACAAUCCCACACAAAAAAACUGUCAGAAUCCCACUCAACUGUAACAACUGCACAAGAAAAUGAAUAUAUGAGUUAUAUAUGCCAUGCAUAGUUCAUAUUACAAUCAGAUAAUAGGCAAAAUCACACACAUAUCAGCCCAGAAAAGUUUUGAAUAGGUGCAAUUUAACAUAAUGGGAAGAGCUUUUUGUGCUAAGCUCCACUUGCGUUAAAACUAUAAUACCGAUAAAGAGAGCACAACAGGAGGGUCAUCUUCCUACAAGUAAAUGGAAUUCCUACCAUUUUUUAUUGAAAAUCAUACAAGUUAUGAGCAUAUCAACCAAAAACAGGAAGCAACUUUUUUUUCUUUUGAGUAGAAGUAAAGCGACAAUUUAAAGCAAGCAAAACCAGAGAAUAUUGUUUCCAUCCUCACCUCUGCCAGCAUGUAGGACAGAUAUGCCAUCAGGACCAUCAAAGCUAUUUCACGAUCAGUUGAAUGCCUGUAAAAUAAGAACGUCAUCAUAGAAGAUCGAUCAAAUAAUACAAUGCAAGUUUGUCUUUUCCGUUGGGUUAUCUUAAAUCACUUACCUACCAAAAUAUGGGGUCUUAAGAGCAUAAGCAGUCAAAAGCCCAGUCUGGAAGAAGACAGCAAACAAUGAAAAUGAACCCAAAAGUGCACAAAUAAUUCGAGCUCAAGAAUUUCAGAUUAAAUAAAAAAAGAAAUAAAAAAAAAUCCUUAAUCAACAUGCUGUUAUGCAAGAAGCCAAAAUGCUAUGCCACAUGGUUGCAAGUACUGGGGGGAAAACAUAUGACAUGAUUUGCACCUGAAAAAGUUCAAGGACUAAAGAAUAUAUUGUCAUUUUUUUUAAAAAAAUAUUUCAGCAUGCUAUUAGAUAUCUAAAUUUUAAAAGAUCACACAUUAAGUGAAAAAAAUGAAUCUUACAGCAAUGCCCAGGAUAGUGCUUGUUGAAAAUAAGUACAGAAAAUCUCCAAUAACAUGAACUGCUGCCCAGCCUUCUAAUUUAUAGACAGCCAUAUUUUGGAUUGCAUUAAAGAGAACAACAGAUGUAGCAUCAUUUACAACUCCUUCCCCAAAAACCAGGCUAUACAGACGAGGGUUCUCAUCUUGAUGAAGAACCUACACUUAAAAUACCAGAAGUUCAGGAUAUCUCUACAAUAGAGAGUCAGCGAUUUAGAGAAAAGCUGGAAGAUAAUGCAAAAUCUAACCAACCCGCAAUGUACAGACAGUAUCUGUUGAAGCAAAUAUUGUUCCAAGAGCUGGAUAAAAAUAUAAGAGCAUAAGAUUAAGCUAGCAUAAUUCCAUAAGCUCGAUAACAACAAAAGAACAUCAAUCACAUUUAAAGACUAAUCUCCUUGAUGUAAUUGCAUGACAAAUAUAUCAAAUCAGACAGAGAGAGUAACCAAACCUAGAUAAUCCCGUGCACUUAGACCAUUGAAACCAAUCUUUGGAAAAAGCCACCAGCUCCCUAAUUCAACAAGCAACACAUCAAUCAGGAGAGGACUUUACAAAACAUACAUAAUACAUAUCAGCAAGAAGGACUUGAUCCUAAGGUCAGAAAGACAGAAACAGAAUUAGAUUACUAAAACACCUUUAAGUCGAUGAAAACCAGAAGAAAGAAUAGCACACAGAUACAUGAACAAGAGUUACCAACCUCACUUAUUCAGAUGCAUGAAAAAAACAACCGAUAGGUAAGACCAAAAAUAACCAUUUAUAUGUAACAGCUUGAUAUGGUCAAAAGCUUUCUCAUAUCUGCUUUCUACAUUUAACUGGUGAUUGUGACUAUUUUACAUUGUCGUAGAUCAACUAACAGGGUUUUGCAAAAAGAAUAAAAUACACAUGCAAAUUAGUAUGAGUCUAUAGACAUUUCUUAGGAUGCCCUGACAUUUGACCUUACAUGAUCAAAGGUUCCCAAUCCACAUCUCCAACCUCCCUUCAUUUACCAUUUACUGCAAGCAGGAGGCAACUAUCACGUAUAAUAAUUUCUCAAACCAUGCACAAGGGAGGCCUGUUAAGAGAAUAAGAACUUAGACAACGAUAUGAAACAUACUGAGUAUACAAAAAGCUAAGAUGCAGUCAUACAUGAAUCUCCAUAUAAGAACGGAGCAAAGAAAUCAAUCCAAUAGAUAUCAAGCAAAGGGCUAUCAAUUGGUAGAAGCAAAUGGGAACACAAGAAGACAAGGCUAUCCUCAACUGGAGAGAAGCAUCCUCAUUAACACUUAAUAUUGAGAAAGCCAUGCUACCAAUAGAUUUAUAAAGCUUGACUAAAUCAAUUGCUCAAGGUGUUGUUUUGCAAACCCUCUUGCAUAAAAUAGGGAAGGAGGCUAUCAACCACAUGAAGAAACAGCAGCUUAAGUACUUGUUUAUCCAGACUUUUUCUUUUCUUUUUUUUAUAGGAAAUUCUAGAUUACCAUUAUUAUCGCAUUUGUGGUCUCAUCUAUAGUAGUAUGUGUCUACAUCGGGCAUCAUAGAGAUAUUUUCCUAGGCAUCCCAAUGGUUAAUAUAAAAAAUAAAAUACAUGUUUAUCUGGUACUUGCAAGCAUGUCUUGAGAACUCAUCUAGCAUAUCUGUUUUAAUAAGUAAUAAUCCAUAAUGAGCCUAGUCUUUCAAGCAAUCAGUAACAGAAUUCAAUCAUUUGAGAUGUGAAAAUUACCAGCUGAUAUGAUGGCAAACGAUAUGAAAACACCAACUAAUCCAAAAAACAUUAUGUUCAGAAAGUUAUGAAAGAACUGUUUCUUCUUAACCUGAAAUCUGGAGUGAGGAAUGUCAGUUUUAUGGAGUCAGUAAAACACAUAGUAUAAUUACGUUACCAAAUUAUGAGCACAAUAUAAAGUUGAUGGUCUUACCCAGCAUUGAAAAUUAUUGGUGGAAGAAGAUAUAUAAAGAAUAAUUCCUCAUCAAAUCUUAGAAUGUGAGAACUUCUGCCUUUGCUUGAAAACAAUAUAAUAGUUCCAAUGCUGCAUCCCUAUAUAGACAAAAGUAACGUACGCCAUUUUAAGUAAGAAAUAUUAUUAAAAAAAUUCAAAUAUAAAAUUACAUCCAACAUUUGGAUGAAAUAAGAAGGAUAACUGUGUCUCAAAUAAACAUGAAGAUCAGGUAACGCUUUCACCAAGUCUCCCAUCCAUGCUGCAAUCGCUGGUAAAAAUAGCCUAACGCUUGUUUGUCAGUUCUAAAACAGAAAAACAUCACGAAUGCAUCCUCUAACACUGAAUUAAAGCCAUCUCCUGGCUUCUAGCAUUCUCUCAUUUUCUCUCUCUAGAAUUUCUUAACUGUCUUAAAAUUUCAAGGACUGCUGGCGAAUUUUCUGCUGACAUUAAUGUGACUUACCCUCUAGAAAGGGCAUCUGUUCAGAUACUGAGUAAUAUCCCCCUUUACCUGCAAAAUGCUGGGUUCAGCUUCACCCCUAAUAAACCAAUCAGCCAAUCCACAGCUAUUACUGAUGAGAAUACAGUAGCGUUUCUGCUCCAUGUUGCCAAACAACAUUGCCCUUGAUGAGGAAUAGUUCAGAUAUUGAAUACAUUGUUGAGAUUUAUAGUCCAAGCACUAAGGUAGAGCCUCCUGAGAAAAUCUGAUUCAGACUUACUUGGUGAGCAGCUUGGAUCCAUUCCCAUGAUGUCAGGAUUUUAUUUCAAAAUUGCUACUCUGAAAAGGCAACAAGUGAACCCAUUUAACAGUUUCAGUUUGGUUCUAAAAACAGAAUUAGAAGCAGCUUUGUUUUAGCUCAAUUUAAGUUUCAUAUUAAGGAACCCCAUGUUUUGGAUCUCUGGGUGUUGACUCUUGGGUUUCCUUCAGCAAUAUAAACAGACUGCACAUCUCUAGACUUCCGAAAGUACUAUGUGGUGGGAUGGAAUGCUACAGACCUUUCUGCCCAUAUUUAUAGCUUUUCUUAGCUAUCACUGUUUUUAUCAAGAUCCGCCGUACCGGUACCGGUCGGCAUACCGGUGGCCGGCCGGACCGGUACGGUACGUACCGGCCGGUACCGGUACCGUACCAGCCGGUACGCGGUGGUUUUAAAAACCACAACGCGAGGCGCUGUGGUUCUUAAAAAAAAAAAAAUCGUACCGAUGCGAACCGGACGGUUCGCACCGGUACGAGGCCGGUACCGAGCGGUAUCGGCCGGUACCGACCGGUACGGGCUCCGUACCGACCGGUACAGGCUCCGUACCGGCCGGUUCAGCUAAAAAACCGAAAAAUACCGAUUUUCUUAUGAUUCCGGUACCAGUCUAGGACCGGACCAGUACGUACCGGCCCAUACCGGCCGGUACGGACCGGUACGACAUUCCAUGGUUUUUAUGAUAAUUUUACAAUGUCAUAUCUAGUUCUGCAACCAAUAGCUUCAACACAUGAACAAGGAAGAACUAUAGGAAUUAUAACAAUAUAUAUAUAUCAACAAAGUGACUUCAAGAAUCCAACAAGAUGGGCACUGUGAGAACUAAAUAAUAAAAAAUCAAAAUUGUGCAGGGCUAGUUUCUGAAUAGAAAUCUUCAUUUAGCGAGUUAUGAAAGAAAACAACAAUACUAGGAAUCAUAAAGUUUCUCCUCUGUGCCAAGAUGAACUUAAGGUCAAAGCCACAAAAUCAACAAUCUUAACGAUUGUAAAAAUAAACCAAAUGUAGCUUCAGGUCAGGCUACGAGCAUUUCACAUGCAGCACCAAAAACAUGGUUGAGUUUGAUGCCAUCUCCACACCUUCCAUUGUCUUCAAUCAUAUCAAAUUUCAGAAGCUUCCAAUUCAAGCUUCCCUAACUCACCUACAUAGAAAAUGAGUUGCUCUCCUCAUAAUUCCUGAUGUAAAGGCUCAUGCACUCCACUGAAUUUUCUAAAUAGCCCUAGAUUCUCACUUAUUUGAUGCUGAAAGCAAUAGGUCUUGAAAUUACAUGGAAUAUUUUGUGCUAUUAUCUCUCCCUGUUCCAUAUGUAUGAUUUCCCUGGUAGAAUUUGAGAAAACGUUAUCCAAUAUCUUUUUCUAUGUAGAUCCUUAGCAGCCUAACAAUUGUAGCAUAAUUACCCAAUUGUAAUUCAUGGCUCUCUUCAUCAGGCCCCUGAUUUUUUUAUUAUUAUUAUCACUAAGCAUCAAAAGCAACUGGGAAAAAACAACAGCUCGUAAAGAAGCAUAUACUUGUAUGGGUCAUCAUUAUUUUGUCACAUUUCUUUAACAUUCUCUGGCCCACAAAAGUACUUGAGAGGUUAAAAGAAAGAAACUUCCUUGGCUUAGUCAUCUAAACACAUUCCCCAGCUGAAGUUAGAAUUAAUGACAAGCAAUCGUUCCGAGUUACAUGAGCAGGUAAACACAAUCGCCAAUUGAUGACCGCCAAUAUGAAGUCAUACUGAACACUGUCCAAUUCACAUUAACAAUCCUUACAUUUUCUCUACUGGAAUAGCAAUCAUCAAGCCCAAAAGAGAACCCCUUUGAACCUUUACUCCCUUUUGCAUCAAAACAAGAACUUUUAUUCUCUAACUUAAAAACAGAGGCCUUUGUUCUAACUAGAAAAACAAGAAGUGUCCAUGACGAGAGAUUAGACAUUUACCUCUCGCACUUGAACCAAACUCACAAAAUCAAGUACAAGUCUAGCAAUCAUGUCCGACUACCACUUUUCAUUUACUGGAAGCCCUUAAAGUUUUAAACAUAUCAUAUUCUUCUACAAAACAAAAUCAUAGAUGACAGCAGUUUUGUCAGAUCAAGGAUAAAGUUGAUACAAUGCAUUCAAGCCUAACUUUUUUUAAGAAAAAAAGAGGGAAAAAAGACACAAUAUUUUGGAGUAUAUGAUCUCAUACAAGGGUUGAAACACUGAUACUCGCACCGUAUUGGGAUCAAUAAAGAAUGGUACUGAUAUGUGACCUUCUGCGCUCAGACAAGGAAUAGUAUUGGGUCCCGGCACAGCAAAUGUGACACCAACUACCAUGCGUUGAAACAAUAUGCUAAUAAGUGGCGUUGCCCGACACAGAUUAUGAACUGGCACUUCAACCCUUGAUCUCAUACGAACCUAAAUAUCCUAUACAAAAAUCUUCUUCAAUAAAGUAAAACAGCAGUUUCCGGCAUUUCAGUGGGUCUAAAUGUUUAAAAGAAAACAUUCAAUCGAACCCAUUGUCAGAUAUCAAUGAUUCAUGAAUGAAAAACACUAAGCAUCAUUUAAGAACAAGUGCUGGCCUCUUUCUUUCCUUAUUUCGAUCAAAAAAACUCUUUUUUCCACUCUUUCAUCUGUUCAAUCACACUUAGCAUCAUAUAGUGGGUACUCGGUGUUGGAAUCAAGGCUUACGAUUAGCAUGGCUGUGAUGGACUCGUUAACCCAUCGAUUCUCUCCGAGAAAGUGCCCGACAACGAUGCAGAGGCAGAGCACGGCGGCGUACACCGAGAUUGAGACGACGCUUUCGUGAUCGGUGUCAUUGGAGAAGAUCAUGGCGGCGGAGAGGAUAUCAAACAAUGCCAUUUUCGAGAUCGAAAUCCGACCAUAUACUUCUUCUAUUGAUUGGCACCGACCGGGGCUAGGGUUUCUUCUCGAGGGGUCGACUGAAAAGGACGGCCGAGAGUUUUGGCGGGGAGGGGAAGAGGUUUUGGGUUCUAGGCACGACGGCAGCGCCGAAGGUGGGUGCCACGUUUCAUUGUUCUUAUGAGAUGGCUCCUCUCUAAAAAGCCACGUGGCGGAGAUUUACGUGAGAUGAUGGUAUUUGCUGAUUUGGCGGACUCUGAUUGGCUUUUCGAGGCAUGCAUUAACUACUGAACUGACAGUUUGUUAUAGAUCCCUUGAGGAAUCAUGCGUAUCUGCUAAAUUUUUUUGUGGAUCCACUUUGAUUGCUAAGAUAAGGUUAUGAAAUUGAUAUUUAAAUAUUGGUUGGACUCAGCGGUUGAUCAGUCCAACAACCCUGGCAACAUGCCUAUAUUGCUCCGUGUUCUUUUUUUUUUUUUCCGAUGUUUAUGCAUAUUGAUCUAUGAUUGCAUUGGUCCACUGUUAAGCUGGUGAAUCUGAUCAAAUCAAUAUUUUUUUCUUACUGCUGAAUAUAAAUAUGAUAGAUAGACUUUCGGUCAUGACAGGUAGGAGGGCAAUUUAGUCAGAUAAGACAGUAUAAGAAUAUGAUCUGAUACGCAUUAGGAUUAAAAAACUAUCAACCUAGAUCGAUUCGUUUAGUAAACAAAUCAAAUAUAUCUGAUUCACUUAAUUUGUUUGUCGUAAAAAAGAAUUUUUUGAGAGGUUAUAGUAAACUCGAAGGGGAGUAAGAAAUGGAUAGAAUGAGAGGAGAAAAGAAAAUAAAAGAACAAGUCCCAGCAUCCUCGCAUACUAAGAUCCUAAGCCGUUGACUUUCUAAUGUCUAACUUCAAAUGGGUCCUAAACCCUAAAUUGAAUAGAUUAAAUAGACGAGUUGAAUAUGUUAAUCGAAUUUGACCUAAUUGUUAAAUAGUUUAAACAGGUUAGGAGUCUGAAACCUAGACCAAACUUGUUUAAUAGACCGAUUAAUUUGUUUAUGACUUGAACCUAUUUAUCCAAACUUAAACAUGUUUAUUGCAAGCCUAGUGCAUAUUGGCGGGUUGCUUUCUAGAUUGCAGCCUCUCAGGACAAAUGGUUUUUAAGUAAAAAUUCUUAUAAUGAUUUCCCAAAAAGUCUAUUAUAUAAUUUAUAUUGUACUAAAUAUUGACACAUGUUAUGCAUGCAAAUGAACAGCACGAUAGUUUUGAGGGAACCUCCAGCUUUCUUUAUCAGUAGAAAAACAAAGAACAAGGUGAAUAUUGUAAACUUCCUGGUUUCUUAAACCAUCAAAUUUUAACUUAAAUUUCUUCUUUUCUAAAAAUAAGAAAUAGAAAGUGGAUAAAGGAAGAAAGUUGGACAGCGAUGAUGCUUACAUUUUUAAAUUUAAUAUUAUAUACCAAAAACCAUCUAAUUUACGCUUGCCAUGUCCGGUGAACAACCACCACCAAGAAAAUUGAUAUAUAGUAAGAGAUAUAUUAAUAAUAAAAUUUGAAAAAAUAAUUCUUAUUUGGAUUUUAUAUGAUUAUAGCAAUUAUAUAACAAAAAUAAUGGCUAUGUGUUAUUUAACUGGUGCAUUGCUUGUCUAAGUAUUUUUUAAAAAUUUUAAUUAUUUAUACGGCUAUACAAAAGUAUAUCUUUAUUCGAUAAAUAGUGAUUUGAGAAAACAAUGCUUUUAUGUUUCAUCAUCGUUCAUUAGUUUUUCUGUUGUCACAAUACGUAAUGACCAUUAUGAGAGUCUCUUAUUUAAUUUUUAACAAUUUCGGUUCAGACCUGGACAUAUAAUGAGUAUUAUAACUAUUAUAAUAAUUAAUAAUAAGUUUAUUAAUGGUUACAUGUCAUUGAAAUCAUGGUUACACCAUACCAAGAAAAGCUACCUCAACGUAGAAUGAGUGCAACUCGAAGCAUUUUUAAUUGAUAAACUUUUUGUUUCAAGUGGCCUCUGGAGAUGGAUAUUCAUAAGAAACUAGAGCAUGCAGUGCCGGUCUUAGCAGUGCCACAGUGUCACCAACAACUCCACCGAGUUGAAAGUUAAUAAACAAUCUGUGGCAAUCGUACGUGCAUGGGAUGUUCUGCUUACUACGUACUCUCAUGAUUUUUAUGAAUAUUCAUUGGAAAAACACUAUAUAAAACUUCUAUUUUUAUGGAAAACAAACUGCAUCAUAUAUGAUGAAUCUUAUGUUGCAUGGAAGAUCAUCCAAGUAUUUCCUUAAUUCUUUAAGAAAAAGGUAAAAAAUGCAGUACUUCUUUUCUAUCCUUUUUAUUAGCAUAGUAUCACCAUUUCUUUGAGUACAUUUUAGCAUAGUAUUAGUUGGAGCUCAGAAUUCAUGUUGCAUUAGUUGUCUCAGAAAAUAGUUCACCUAAUAGAACUCUUACAAAGGGGGAAAUGAACAAUAACAACGAGGACUACCGCUCGCCUGCUGUGCCUGCACCGAUGAAGAUUCUUCUCUUGGAUGUUAAGAAGUCCUCUUUAGAGAUUUAGUAGCUUAGAAACUUAUCGUUUCACUUUCACCUCACUUGACUGGAGAAGAAAGUCUCUUAAGCCUCCUUUUUAUUUGAUAUCGAGAUGGUAAUGUUUCGACUUUAAGAGAGAGAGAGGUUUGCAAGGUAGCUGGAGUGUCUAGCCAUUUACCAAUUGAGCAGAUGAUUUUGCCUUGCUGGAGUAUUAUCAAUUUCUGAUCUUUUAUCAAUUUGUGAUCCUAAUUUUCAUGACAUUUUUGCUAUCUUAAAGCACUUAAUAUUGCACCAUUUAUUACUGCAUUUUUAUGUUUGCUUGCUGAAUGUCUACUUCCUUGUUCUAUGUGGGUAAAAUUUCUCUUCAAGUGGAACCAUAUCCCACUUCUUAAUGCUAUAUAUAUUUUUUGGGUGUACAGAUGAUUAGAGGCAUCCUGCACGGUUACUUGUUGAUAGUGUCAUCAAUAUUUACCGUGAACCUUCAUAUAAUGGGAGAUAAUGUUGCUCUAUCAGGCUCGCAAAAAUCUGUUUCUUUACCUGCCGGGAUGGACUUUGUCUGUGCUAGCCUAAAGGCUUGAGAAACAGCUAAGACAGCUAAAUCAUUAAAGAUGCAUUUGGUUCGCAAUCGCAAAAGAAAUCGAAAUAGAUUGGAAUGGAAAUCAGAGCAGCUAUAUUCCCCGAUGUGUUUAGUUAGUAUCUGAAAUCAUAAUCGGAAUCAAAUUUAAAUACUAGGGGAGAAAUGAGCUUAAAUUUUGGGGGAUCGGAGAAUUUCCAUUUUUCUAUGGAAUCUGAAUAGAGGUAGAACUUUUUUCGACCAAAUGAUCGGAAUAUAAGUCACUCAUUUUCAUUCCCGGUUUUAGAGCCUAAGUCCUCCUAACCAAACAUUACCCUAAGGGUAUCCCUUGACUGGAAUGACUACUUGAAAGCUCUAUAAACUCAAAAUUUAUUCUCACAAAUUUUCAUUUGAAGUCCUUGAUCCUUGUUCAGUGGAAUCUUGAAAUUGGACUGUUAGGAAAAUUAUGUUUGGAUUUCAGUUCUGUAAGAAACAGAGGCGAUCAUGUUAUUUCAUAAAACUCCUUACUUUUUUCUUGAUAAAAAGGAGCAAAGUUCCACGUACGCUUUAUUGGUCUUAGAAGUUGUUCUCUU